UGUGUGUGUGUGUGUGUGUGUGUGUGUGUGUGUGUGUGUGUGUGUGUAUUUGAGGUAGCGACAGAAGGAGAGGGGGCUUGGGAGGAAAAUUCAAGAACUGUGCAGUAGUCAUGUAGUAGUAGUCAUGUAGUAGAAAGGGCAGCACCAUGACAUAGACAUGUAGUAGGUAUGUUGAAGAAAAGUCCAUCAUCGUGUAGUAGACAUGUAAUAGAAAGGGAGGCAGAAGUUACAUUCGUGCUGAGCAAGGCCCUCCGUGUGUAUGUGGUCCUGUAUCCAGUAACCAGUUGUCGAGAGACAAAGCCAGUUUGUACCACAGGCUGGCUACCUGGCAUGGAAGAGUGUGGUGACUGGGAUGGCCUCUUCUCCACAUAAUGCAGAGAGAAUAAACUGGCCAUCUGCAACCUAAAUCACGGCUACCUUCCCUUCCAAUAGAAACAGUCUCUCCGUAGGAGUCAAGAUAAAGCUGCCCUUUCUUCUUCUUACCUAAGACUCUGGUUGCUCCCACGUAUCUCCAUCCCCCGAGCAUGCACUGGCAUCUCUGUGAAAGCCGUACUGCGCUCCCUAAAGCCACAUCUCCUCACAUUUGGUGUGCAGACCCACACCCGAGACUAGGCCUUCUAGGCCUUUUCCCCGAAUCUCGUAACUCUUGAUCCUACUUCUAGGAAGGACUUUGGCGAACAAGACCAGUUCCAAAUUUAAAAGCAAAUAUCAGAGUUUCCUUUGCCCACUGACUUCUCCAGCAAAGCUAGCCAUGUGACCACUAGGAGGAGAAAGGAAGCCCUGCUAAUUUUUGAAGGAGUAUGACUGGCCAUAAUGAGGGAAUUCAUAAAGGGAAAAAAUGUGAAGUCCGGAUAGAGGUCACAAUGCAAACACAGCAUAGGCCCAGGGUGGCCAAUCUGAGCUGCAGAUGGUAAGUCUGCUCUGUUGUAGGGGCAAAGGAAGCCAAACUGAAAGCUGGAUAUAGGGUCUGCCACAGGGACAUUGGUUGAGAACAUUUCACCCUCCCACCAAGAGAUGGUCACGUACAACACCUCCAAGGCACGGAUAUAAAAAGCUAACACAAGAAAGCUGCCCAUUUGUUUCACAAAUUAGAGAGACUUGACAGAUUGGGAGACAGUCCUUAUCAACCCAGGGGCCUGUCGACUUUGUCAAGGAAGUCCCAAGUUUAAGGCCUAGUUCUGCCCUGUGUCCACUUCCUUCUCUAGACAGUGUGUACACAAAUAAAUUGAUUUCCCAUCCUAAGCACUGUGAUCCCAUAAGAAAAGCCGUCCAUUUAUAAAAGUAUUCUACAUUUAAAAGACUAAUUGAAAAUGUGAUGAUAUUGCACACACACACACACACACACAGAGAGAGAGAGAGAGAGAGAGAGAGAGAGAGAGAGAGAGAGAAUUCAUUUAUUCAGGAAGACAGAAGGUAAAUUGAUUACAGAAUGCAGUUAUAUGACAGGGCUGGGUAAGACCCGCAGGCCAGCUAUGGAUACCACAUUCUAGCACAUUCUAGAACAUUCUAGCACCACCUGAAGAAGCAUUCAGGAGACCAUGAGGAACACGAUGACGACUUCACUUAAGCCUGACACACCAAAAGGAAAGCAGCAUAUCUGUGACUCCAAAGGCAUAGCAGUUACUGUCACAAAAAUCAUGUUUCCCAAGCUCUUCACAGGAUUUUAUUUCUUUUGGCCCGGGUCUAAUUACAAGCUUGCCCUGAGGCUCUCUCCCUCUCUGUGGUAAUCACUGCAGAACUAGCUUUCUUUUCUCAUCUUUUCUGGGGCAUUUGGAGAAAAAAAAAAAGCCAAAGUCCUUCCCAUCAGAGAGGGUGUGGACUAACAAGACCCUUGUCUUUCUGAGAAAGACAGCGUGAACCAAGAAAAGGAGAUUUCGAGGGAGAUAACUGCCUCCAGGUCUUCUCCGAUAUUGAUAAGCUUGCAGACUUUUCUCAGACUACGUCGUCCCUGUCCCUCUAGGCCUCGGUUUCCCCCUCCUUAAAGGGAGGAGAAACACGGACCUCUGCUUUGUGAAACUAGCCUAAGCGUGCCAUCCCUAGAACAUGCCUGGCCUGCUAUCAAGGCUCCAAUGAAGUGGUGAAGAGGGUCUCAACCUUCCUAACACUUUCUACAUACAGUUCCUCAUGGUGUGGUGACUGCCCCCCCCAACCAUAAAAUGAUUUUCCUUGCUGCUUCAUAACUAUAACUUUGUUACUGCUAUGAAUCAUAACAUGGAUAUCUGAUAUGUGACUCCUGUGUGUAUGUGUGUGUGGGGGGGGGGGUGUCGUGACCCACAGGUUGAGAAGCGCUGCUGGGAUGCAAGCCAGGUAGGGAGGAGGCAGUCAAAGGACACUGCAACAAUUCUCCCAGCCUUGCAGUCUGUGGUAAAAAACCAACACGAGCCAAAUGGACUCUGAGCACCACACAAAUAACCUAUGACUUGGUAACCGCGAAGCACAGAUCAUCUCCUACGCUCUAUCCCAGCCCCAGUCAUAAUCACUCUCCUCAGACAUUCUCAGCCUCCCCUCCUCUCAUCGCCCUCCCCGAGUCCCCUGAGCAGUAUUUCACCCACUCUGGUGCAUAACACAAUAAGCUGGUCUGCUCUGAGAAAAUACUUACGUUCAGCAUCAGCCCCUAGAGGUUCUGAUUUCAUUGUGCCAAGGUAAAACCAAAGCGUUGGUGGUAUUUUGUAAAAGUUCCCUAGGUGAUUUUAAUGUGCAGCCGGGGUUGAAAAGCACUCUAUACCAAAUAUACUUGUUAUUGAAAGGUUUAUGUAUAACAUUUAAAAAAAAAAACAUCUUUAUUGCCAUUUUUACUGCCGCAACAACAACUUAGUGGGAGGGUUAGGCCGACUCACCUACAAAGAAAAGCUCUGUUGGCCUCCCUAGAAUAUCAUACCUAGGAGGGGUUUCCUAGGUCACCAGGUCACCUCCAUAGCACCCAGGAGGCUCAGAAAGAAAGCCAGCAUAGUCCUGACCCAGCCUCAGGUCUUCCCAGCCUGCCUCCUUUGGAUACAGUGUCAGCUCUGUGACCUCGAGGGCUCCCCCUGUCCCUCUUCUUCCUCCAUUCUUCUCCUCUCAGGGUCUCCUCAUCCCCUUCUCUCCUCUGAUACUAAAGGCUAUUUGAAGUUUUCUAUAUAGUACUGUGAGCUUUGAGAGAAAAAGGCACCGUGGAAAAUCUUAAUAAACAAAUAAAUAAUUCAUAGUAGGUAUUGGUUUGUUCUCUGCACCACUGGGUUUUAAACAUUUCUUAAAAGCAGACUCUUACCCAUAAAGCCAAACCAAUAAAAUCCAUGAAACGGCAGUAUAAAGAUUGAAGUUGGGGUGGCAGAGGCCCAGAGCCUCCAAGGCAGAACCAUCUCAGGGGCAGGAAGUUAAGACUAAGCACCUCCACACCUGUCCCAGGGCCGAGUGGGAAACAGACUCAAAAAUACAAAAUGGUUCCACGGAAUACUUGGUGGCACGGAGGCUGUGGAGGGAGGGCAGCUCCCAACCCACCCCCAGAAGCAAAAACAUCACUCUGAGCACACUCACCUCCAGAAGGGUGAGGUGUGAAAGAAGGCAGACACUUCUAGAGAAAAGAGCAGGCUGUGCAAUCGGCUGUUGAGAAACGUAAGAAACAUGACAGCAGCUGGCCCUGCUGAAGCAACUCAUUCCUCAGGUAAGAUUUAGGUCUGCUAAAAUUAUCAAAACUUAUCUUUGGAGAGAUAACUUAUGGCUGGAGAGAUGGCUCAGCGGUUAAGAGUGCUGACUGCUCGUCCAGAGGUCCUGAGUUCAAUUCCCAGCAACCACAUGGUGGCUCACAACCAUCUGUAAUGGGAUCUGAUCUCUCUUCUGGCAUGUCUGAAGACAGCAACAGUGUACUCUUACAGUAUUUAUUUUAUGACUAAAUCUUUAGGAAAAACUCCUCUCUCAAGCUGAGCUGGGUGUACAGUUGAUACCUACAAACUCAGUACUCUGGAGGCUAAUACGGGAGGGAGCAUGCCUGUGAGGUCUAGGCCAGCUUAGGCUGCAAAAUAAAGCCUUGUGUCAGAACAGACAUCUUAGCAAACAGGGGGCUAUUCCCAAUCAAUGUGUAUACAUGUAUAACUCCUCCUACCUAGAAGCAAGGAAUUAUGGAGAACACUGUGGGGAGCAAGAAGUCAUUUUGGUCACAUUUCCUAUCAUAGGCUCUCAGCAACCAGAAGUAACAGUAGUGAGCAAGCCUACACAGGAAAUCUUUCCAGUCAACUCUUUGAGUGGUUGACAAUGUCAGGCUUUUCCUACUGCUAAUCAAACCAGCUAUGUGCAACUACUGACCAAGGACCAAGUAGUCAGAUUUGCCAAAAGACUCCCCUCCCCCUCUUUCUUUUUUUAUGAACUGUAUGGGUCUGUGCACUGGUAUAUAAAUGUGUAAAUACCCAUUGAAGCCAAAGGUUUCCAAUCAGUCUUGGAGCUGAAGUCACAGGUUUCUGUGUGCCAGCCACACAAUGUGGGGUCUAGGAACUGACUUCAGGUCCUCUGGAAGAGCAGCAAGUGCCUUUGGCCACUAUAAUUCCAGCUCUAGGAGAGCCAAUGCACUCUUUUGCAGCCUUCGUGGGUACCAGGAAUGCAGGUGGCACACAUAUAUACACAUAGGCAAAACACUCAUACACAUUAAAACAAUUUUUUAGAAGUGAAUAAAAAAAAACUUCUUUUUACAAAUAAUAAAUAAGUUUUAAAAAAAGGAGGGGAACUAUUUUUAAAAAAAGAGAGAAGAAAGUCCUGAUAGGAAAAAAAAAAAUCUAAAACACCUUUAGAUUCCCAUUUUGAGUUAUUUAUCAAAGCAUUUUGAUGUGGUCCCUGUGACAUUCCCACAGGGCAGUUGUCAUAGUCCCCAUUUACAGAUGAGAUCGUCGAGGCUGAGAAAGGUGAAACAGCUUGCCCAAGGUCUGGCAGCCAGUGUGUCAGGGAGCCUAGAGCCAAGCCUUCUACUUCCAAAGGUAAGAUUCUUCCCACUUCAAGCAAAAGCAGGGAUUUUCCCAAAACUGGAACACAGGACGGUCAGAUCACUACAGCACCACCUCCGAUUUCUCGGGGGGGGGGGGGGGGAUCUGCAUGUCAAUCGAGACUGGAAUAUGUAUUCCUAUAUGGAGGUAGGGAUAAUGGGCCAUCAAUACGGUAAAGGGCCACUGGUUUAUUCUUUAAUAUCCCACCCCAAGUCUUUCUGUCAUCUUUUCCCUCCAACCCUUCUUUGCACCAAAGUCUUCUUGGUUCCCCCACCUCAACUCCCCUAUCCCUAACCCCCCUUCUUCCCUAAGCCUUCAGAUUCCCUAUUCAUCAAGGAAAUGAAAUCCAUAUGCAUAAUUCAUUUCUUUUGUGAACUCCCCCCCCCCCCCUUGCAGGGAGCAUGCUCCCUGCGCAUAGGGAACAGAGCUAUUGACAGAAGGCCAAAGAGCAAGGGUAUAGAAAUACCUUCCCCAUUUGGCCAGGACAGACCAGGGCCAAAGGUUAGGCCUGGACCUCUGCUGGCCGCCACCUCAGGCUCCACCAUUCUGUCUCACAGAACGAGGGGCACCCUGCUCUGGCUAUUAAGAGACAAUAGGCUUCAUCCUUAAGAGAGCCCAGAAGGCGGAUGGGGAAGGAAGCCUAGUUUCCAAACGCACUGGCUGCCUCAUAGGUAGGAGAAAAAAAUCAAUUGAGUCCUCUUGCUCCUUCAUGUCUCUGCUCAUAUUGAAAACCCAAAACUAAACAAAGAAAUCUACACCAUGCCCAAGGCGCCAUGUUUAACAGCUGUUGCAUUCGGAGAAAAAGCAGUCCCUGGUCCAAAGUCAGAUUUGAAAAACGGCUUUAUUAAGAGAAAGAUUUACUGUGUAUGAACUCCAAGUCUAGAAAGCCUAGAAAGGGGCAGCUGAGAGACAGACUAACCAGACAGAAGGCCAGGGCUGAGCUCACUGGCCAAUGCUACCUUUGGGCAAGAUGCAAAGACUAGUACAACAUCCUCCACAGGCCUGGUCUUAGGUGAUUAACUCUUUAAUAACAGCCAGCUACAGGCCCACCUGCUUCAGAAAUGGCCAGCAGACUCUAAAGCCAAUGUGGCACUUGUGCCUGGCCCAGUGAAUCUUAGGGAGCUUGUGUGACUUAGCAUCCCAUGUCACCAUCUUCUACCCAGGCUCCUUUUCUCAUGUUAGUGUCUACUUCUCUAUUCCCAAAAGAAGCAGAACAAGAUAAACAGAUGGCAAACAUUUUAGAUUUGAGGAUCCUUAUGCCUGGUUUGCCUGAAUAGCAACGUAAACUGUAUUGUUAAUAUCCCACCCUACACUUCAGGGUCCCCAUCCUUGAAGUAGGUUCAACUCCAGUUGAGGUAUUGUCAAGUCUCCUGGGAUUAUCAGUGGAGAACACAGCUCCUAAUAUCAGUUUGUCUGAAUUGCCAUCAGAUCAAGAAGAAGGAAAUUUCAUUUACUCUUUGACUUUUUUUCUUUUCUCUGAGUGGCCAGAUAGGCUGGAGUGGAUGAACAAGGAGUAAAUAGGUGUAUCUACCAAUAAAUUUAAACUGACAGAUGUUUUAUUGUGAUCCCUGUAAGAUUAACUUAGAGAAACAAAACACCCAACGUCUGUCAUCUACUAUGUGAAAACCAGAAAACAGCUCAGUAACGGCACUAAUAAAUGGGAGGAAUAUCAUCUAGGGAUCUAUAGAGGACCCUGUUCUGUCCCCACAGAUCUGUGUAUUUAGAAAGUAAAUGGACAAGGAAUCCUGAGGUUAAACUUGAACUACUGCCAAGCAACAGAUAAACGGUAGGUAAAAACACUCCUGACAGUCAUGGAGGGAUCCUGGAUAACCCCUACAUAAUAGUCCUUGGACCACUACUGUUUGUAUCAGGGCUUAGGGGUCUGAUGGACAUGGGUCUGUACCAGAAUCCUGCCACUUAACAAUAUACAACUCUAGAUAUGAAAAGUCCUCAAACCCCAUGUGCAAAUCAUAUGCUAUAAUGAUACUUCCUCAUAGGGUAUAUAUAAUUUGAUAGUUUGCUCAGCAUGUAGUAAGUACCCAACAGGUUGUAGCUUAAAACUCACAAACUAGUAUUAGCUUAUUUUUCCUUGGAAACAAACUCAGAACUGCGAACUGACAUGGUAACUGAUAACUUGAUUUGGCAUUAAGUUAGGUUGGAAUUUACAAAUAAACCUGCUUGCCCAGGUGCAGUACACCAUCUACUUGGUUCCCCAACGGGCUGGCUUGAAAACAAGUUGAAGAAUUCAGGAAACAAGCCCUUUCACCAAAAGCCAGGCUUUCCCACCCAUUCUAUGAUGUGUGCCCUUCCAGUCUCCAAGGAAAACCUCAUCCGAUGCUCUUUCCUGCUCCAUAGGAGCCUGUCUGUGUGGCUCCGGAUCUUCUGCUCAAUCUGGACAGUCAGUGGUAUCACCCUGUCAUGGGGGUCCAGAGAGCAUCUGCAACGGCCCAUUUCACUGCUCUGUGUUCCUAUCUUCGGGAUUCAUUAGCAUAUUUCAGCGUUACCUUGAUGGAUGAAGAUAGAUGGGGAACAUCAUCCUUGGUGAAAUCACUGUUUCAUCAAGGUUAAAUCAGCCCCUAGCUUCACCACCUCCCUUUGUUUGCCUAGGUCUCUAAUAACAAAAUUAACGGCAAAAUUAAUGCCCAGGAGGCUCCCUGUGAAAUAUACCGAUGCCCCCAGAAUGAAGCUUUAUUCUGGACCUCCCAGUUUAUAAUCCAUCAAUCAGCGGCUUCCAUACUUUAUCUUAAAAUAAAACACCACCGUCACUACAGCAGACGUCUGCCUCUCCGUCUUUUCAUCUGAAACAGCCAGACUGGGAAAAGAGCAAGGGGUGGGCUGCUGCCUUGGAAUCAUCACAGCACUGACAGUCCAAGCAUGGAGCAGUGGGCUUGUGGGUCCUGUCUCUGCAAGUAGACAGCUUGCACUUUCAAGCACAGGUAGCUUUGGUUACCUUUCCUCUCAGUACCGGAACUUGUGGGGUAAACAGUUUGUCUUCGCUAAGUCCAUCCUAGAGUCCUGAUGGUCCAGACACCUGAUCAGAUCGAUAAAUGCAGACCAAACACUUGUUAUCUGCCAAAGACUGUCUAGGACAAGCUUCUAGUCCUUAUCCUGAGGAACAGCUCUGGCAGGUUCAGGGAUCAUUCGUAAAAUCCCUGAUCCCCUAAUCAGCCACAGAAAUGCUUGGAUGCUGCUGGGGGGAGGGGGCAUGCCCUGGAUAUCCUAUUCUGUGAUAAUCCCCAACUACAGCACACACAAGAAGAAAUGUGGUGUUGGCUGUGUGGGGGGGGGGUGUCAAACAGCGGGACCACAUACCUGGGCAGCUGUUAGUGCUGUUUCUUAUUAGUAGUCACAGCCUCUUGGCAAGGCACAUUCACUUCAUGGUAAUGAGUUUCUCAAGACUGACUUUGCCUGUCCUAGGUUCCCUAUGUUCUAAAGGGUGGCUAUGUUCAAUUUCUCAGGCUUUCCCUUUCGGGGAGAGAGUGGUGGCUAUGGCAUGGAAAUGCCAUUGAAAACAAGCACAAUGGACAGGAGCAGAUAGAGCUAUGGGGCUUUUCAUUGGAAGGCUGACUAUUACCAGCUUACACAUUCAAAUGAGGUUUUGUACUUGUUAAUUUCCUACUUUCUGUUAUUUGGAGUUUGAGAUGGUUGGUUGUUUGUUUGUUUGAGACAAUGUCUCCUGUAGCCAGAGCUAGCUCUGAUCUGCUAUGCAGCCAAGGAUGGCCUUCAGCUUCUAAUUCUUCUGACUUUCUGUGCCAGGGUGCUAGGACAUUAGGAUUCCACCACCAAAAUUUAUGUCGUACUUACUGGGAAUAGAGAGACCAAGGCCUCAUGAAUGCCAGGCAAAAUCAAUCUACCUACUGAGCUAUAGAUUUCCUAUCUUCAGGUGAUUUUUGUUGAGAUAGAGAGUAUAGCCCCAAACUAGUAAGCAGGUUACACAAUAAUCAAGGCUCUGUCUUCACUGGACCUCCAUUUUUCAGGGAUAUUUGUGAGGAUGAAAGGCUUAAAAUGUGUCAAGUGUUCUGCCUUCCUUAAAGGAAGGGUGUUACCUGAAUAGCAAGCCAUGCUGACCAUAGGAAAUCAAAGCCAAUUUGGAAACUCUGUCAUAGAAAGGCUGGAAACACACUCAAGGCUCUCUUACCAUUUGGACACUUGGAAAUUUGCCAGGCACUAAAACCUUCUCCUUUGGUUGUCCACAACUUUCCAUAAAAGUUGAGGUUCUUCAACUUAACAGGAAGAACCACCAGGACAGCCCAGAGACACUAAACCUACCCCUCAUGUCUGCUGCCUCCUUUCUUCCUAUAGAUAGCCGAAGCACCAUCACGGAGUCAAGCCAGAACUGAGCCCUCACCAUAAACCACUCCUGGUGGCAACAGAAGAGCUGUGUGGCGCAAGAGCCAGGAGUCAGCUUACCUCCUCCCUCGCUAAGGAGUGGAGCGACUGAGGAAGCAGGACUGAGACGGACCUUCACUCCUCUAUUGGUCUAGAGAUGUAGUUUCUAAGGUGCCACAGUAAGGGCUGCUGGACUUCUUCAAAGACAAGGGGAGGGGCAAAGAAGAUCACAGCCUUUAUGUCUCCUCUCCUCCAUUUCCUGUCCCCUCUGCUCCCCACUCCUCCUGCUCUCUUCUCCUCUUCUAUCUCUUCUUCUCAAUCUCCUCCUCCUCUUCUUCUCCUUCUUCUUCUCCUUCUCCUCCUUUUUCCUCUCCUUCCCCCUCCCUCCCUUCCUUCCUCCUCCCCUCCUUCCUUUCUUCCUUCCGAGUAUCAGAAUCACAAGUCUACAGUAGCAUGGAAUGUGAAACUCGGGGUGGGGGAGGGGGGAGAAGGAAUGAUGGAACAGGUGGUAUAGAAUUUUAGAACCACGCUGCUCCACGCUAAGCCCCAGAAUGGCUGCUAGGCAGGAGCCAUUAAGACUACUCCCUCCCUGCACGGACAAUGAGGAGUGGUUCAGGGUGUGAGUUGUCUUAGAGAGGUUAUAGCUUUGAGUGUUCAGGUCCCUUCCUUUGAUAUAGAGAAUAAGCUACUGACCCAAAGAACACCAUACCUAUGUUUAAGACACACAGAACUGUUGCAAGUGAGUGAACCCCAGCUUUCACGACACUCCUGCCAUAUCAUUCCCAAUAAUCUGUGUUGUAAAAGAAGAACCUUUCCAGUGGCCAAGACUAGCAAUUCUGUUUGUCUGUUUGUUUCUAAGUUUAAUUUUUAUGCGGAUAGAUAUUUCGCUUGCAUGUAUAUCUAAAUGGCCUGUGUGCCCAGGAGGCCAGACAACAGCAUCAGAUCCACUGGAGGAAUUAUGGAUAGUUUUGAGCCACCAUCAGGGUGCUAGGAAUUGAACCUGCAUCCUCUGGAAAAGCAACCAAUGCUCUUAACAGCUGAGCCAUCUCUCCAGCUCUGACAAUUCUGAAUUGUAAACCUACCCCACUCAGGGAAACACAUAGGUCAGGAACGCUUCCCUGGGGAACCUGCAGACUGAGGGCUCAUAGCAGGACUUCAGUGAAAGAGGCUGUUUGAAGCCAGGCUGUUCCCUUUGCAUCCAUCUGUCAUUCUUCAUACUAGUACACAACAGGUAUACAAGUGGCUCAAGGGCUGUGCUUCACCUCUGCAGACCCAGCAGAGGCCAUGUUGUGAAUCAUUCAGAGAGUUCUCAACACUGAGCUCAACACUCUAAAGUCCAAAAAGUUUUGACUACACCGUGGCUCUCUGCCCAACCCCUUCCGAUUUCACCAAGGGGUUCAUCUUUACCUACAGACCACAGGAUUCUGGUCCAAUCUUAAAAAACAAGAGUAUCUAGGAAUCAAAGCAACUAUCCCUGUUCUUUAUAACUGUUCCAUCACCCGUGAAAUGACAGAGGCCCCCAGUCUAAUGGACUCUGAAAAGAAAAAAAUAAAUAAAGGUAAAGAAACCAUUGAAGGGCUGGAGAGAGAACUCAGCCUGUAAAGAGGUUGCCUCAGAAGCCUGAGAGAACUUGAUUCAGAUAUCCUGAACUCAAGUAAGUAUGGCAAGCUGGGCACUCGGGCUGACUAUGCAGGACACAUAUUUAAUCCCAGCACUUGGAAGACAGAGAGAGGUGGAUACCUGGUGGUCACGAGCUGACCAGACUAGCUGAACUACUGAGCACCAGGUUCAGUGAGUGGCUGGCCAGGUCUCAAAAAAUUAAGGUGGAGAAUGAUGAAGAAAGUCACCCAGGGUGCACCGCUGGCCUGUUUUGCACUUAUACUCAACGUGCGCCCAUAUACAUAGAAAUACAUAUAUGAACAUGUAUGGAGAGAGAUACACACCAAAGAAUCAACUAAAAAUAAACAAAUGCUUCCCUGGCAGCCAGGGAACCAACUUUACAUCAAAGAUGGGAGAGGAAACUUAGGAGGGUGAUGUCUGUAAUAAGCAUAGCUGUGGCAACCCACCUCUCUUCUGAGGUCCUGCUCUAUAAUGCUGGACGGAGGAAGCAGCUUGGGAGAAACUGUCAUUUUACGGGAACUGUGGACAAUUACACUUACAAUCUUCUGCCUUUGAACCCACUCGGUGUGGCUGAUGUUGCCACCCAUCAUAGUCAAGAGCGCUAAUGCUCAGGUGGAACAAGGCACUUGGGAAAAGCCACAUGCUAGACUAGACUGCCUUCCUAGGCCAAGCCUGUAUGUACUUUGGCUGUCACCACCCCCUGACAAGAGGAAAGGGCUGGUAGUGGGGAGAUGCUCAGUCCCUCUCAGUCACUGCCAUCUAUCUCCCAUCAGCCUUCCAUUCCAAGCUUUCCCAAUUCUCCAUAAAUACAACCACCACGACCCAGGAAGUCCAACACUCUGACCCAGGAAGCCUCUGCAGACCACACCUCUUCAGACCCUGCACUGAGCAGGUAGCCUCACGGUGGGGUGUCAAAUUUUAGGAGUGAUAGUCAGAGCCAAGAUAAAGGGCAGACCGGCAAGGAUAACUUGCCUUGAUCAUACCCUGCCUGGUACUUUGUUCUGAUCCUGCUCCACUUGCCUUUCUCACUUGAGGGCUUGUGUGUGUGUGUGUGUGUGUGUGUGUGUGUGUGCAUGCGUGCGCAAGCGCACAUGUGUAAAGCUGGCUGCUUCAUAUUCACACUUGUAGACUUAAAUCCCACCAGGGUCAACAGAGGUAACACCCACAGGAGUCUGGCAUGUCUCCAAGAUUCCCUCAAGGCUCAGAAGUCAAGCUGCAAGUGCCACACUAACUUAAAGGAGGGGAAACUGAGGAAGGGAGGUCAUGCAAAUGUUAGCACUCAGCCUUAGAUGGUCUGGCAAGUCAUCACAUAUGAAUAUCUGCCCUCUGUGAUCCAGCACGUUUUUUCCUGCAUCUCACUAUAGCUAGGGCAGAGAACAACCCACAGAAGCCAUCUACAUUUUCCUACAGAUCAAACAGGAAGAGGCACAGAAAUCUGUGCAAGUGACCACGCUGCCGCUGUUGCUAGGCAGCAUGAUUAUGUCCAUUCCCUGCUGCUUGGCAACCAGCAUUUCCCAUCCCAUACACACACAGCCAAGUGCCCUUAACUGCUAUCUUAUAGCUUUCGAAGGAAGGGGUUGAAUUUCAAGGGAACUUAUGCACAUUCAUGGACAAACACCUCUCUCAUCAAUAAUCCACUGAUGUUUAGAUGGUCCCUAGAGUGAGAUGUUCCCAUUUAAUCAGAAAGUGUCCCUGUGAACAUCUUGUACCUGAGAAUUGCACAAAUCUGCGGAGUUCAGGGACAUGCCAGAGAGAUGUGGAAAGUGCCUGAAUCAGCAAGCUGAAACUUUGGAGGAUAGCAAAGCUGUUCUACGUGCCCUGGACUCCUGAAAAGCCUGCUAAUACAGUGGUCUCCCAAGAAUCUGCCAUCUGGUAGACAAGGAUAAAGUAAAGGGUCAGUCAAACACCUUGAUGGGUGAUGUUUCUUUCUGUUGUCCCCAACAAAAUGUCACUAGAGUUCAGGACACGUCUCAUAACUGAGGGCAAAACUGUCCUCUAGUCAUCUUGAACCUCCUUGGUCACAAUCUGUCAGUUCCUCAAGAGCAGGGUCAAAGCCAUCAACUUGCUGCUUGGACUGAAGAGCUGCCUACUGCAUAACAGGACUCCCUCAACUCACCUGGCUUGGGGGAUAAAGAGCCAGAUGCCUGGGUCCCACCCGGCAUCUGCAAGCACUUGAACUAGGGAGGCCUUUGCUUCUAACUGACUGUAGCUGCUAUCAACCUCACUGCCUUCCUGCCAGAGCCACAAAAGCAACACACUGAUGCAUUUUUAAUCUCAGUUUUAUUUGCACCCAACUUUUUAAUGUUAGUUUCUCAAAUAGCUCCACAAGGAAGAAACCAUAUACGGCUCGGCUCGGCCUCCUGGGAAAAAACAGCCUUCAAUACUAGGGAGGGCAUCUGCAGUUUCUUGUAAACUCUAGAAAAUUCUCUAAGCACCAUUCUGAUUACACGCUGAAUUCAGUGAGAUCACCCAACGUGAUAACCUCAUUGGUAUUUCGUUUUUUUCUCCUCAGCCCCAGCUGGAGAAUUUUUCCCCUCAUUAAAAUUAACAAGGUCAGUUUCCCAAGCUCAAGAUACGAAGCAACUCCUGGUGGUGGGGUUUUGUUUCUUAAAUUGAGCUACAGCUCUCUAAGUGCAGAGUUAUACUAAGCGUCAUUUACUUUAUUGCUAUGUAAUAAGAAACCAAAAUGGAAGGCCUUAGCCAUCCUCCUAACACACCCUACACUUCAGCAACCACAUGCAAACACGCACAGACCACACAUCCCCCAACUCAGCCCCCAGGCUUCUCUGUCUUUUGGCCACAAGAUAAUCUCACUGCUCUUUAGAAGCAACAGCUUAGUGGAAGAAAUUCAGAACUCAGAGGAAGGCUCGGUCACCCUGAGUGGCUGACAAAGUCACAGUGUCCGCAGGAAAUAGGUUAUAAGGUUAAAAGGUACAAGCCGAGAGGAGGGUUUUUGUCCCCCACAGGUGUGCGGAGUGGCCCCAGGUGACCAGAUAGCUGAAGUGUAAUGAGUCUCCACUGACAGUCAAAAGCCAGAAAGCAAUUCUACCAAACACUUCAAAGAAUACUAUGUCAAAAAAUAAAAUGUGUGCUCAAAGCCACAAUCCCCAAUCGUGGGGAAAUGGAUGAAAGCAGGGAGGAUCAACACCAAACUCAUUGCUACACACAUCUUACAUUAACGAACGCAUUGUUUAAAAUGAAUUUAAAAAUCCAACUUUGUAAGCAAGAUAAACACUACCGAGGUGGAGCAGCAUACACACUUUGCGCUAGCUAGGCACACACAGACACCUUACUCCAAGCUGGAAGAAGCUUCAUUUAGGGAGGCCACAGAGAAAGCAAGCAGCCCUGUCCAGGCACACCUCUCAGUCAUCCUUUCAACAGGAUCAUCUGUGGCUAACCCAGCCACUUCCCUCUCUCCCUCCUCUCUGCACCCCUCCCCCCUACCAUCACCACACAGGCGCUCGAGCGCGUGCGCGCGCGCGAACACACACACAAUACACACAUACACACGUGGACAUACACACGUGUUUCAACACAAAUAAAAGCUAACUGUAAUUGAGAUCAAAGAGGAAAGGAAGAGGAAAAGAAGAUGCUGGAGACCAGCUCUGGGUGGAGGGGGUAGCUGCUGGUUUGUGGAGGCCAUUUCCCUAGGCCAGGCUGGGAAGGGGGAGCUCCCUCGCGGCUGCCAUUGUUGGCUGAUCAAAGUCCAAUCAGAAAGUAAGGGAGGAAACUCCGCCAGCCUCAUGUGAUCUGUACAGGAAGCCAAGUGUACAGAAAAUGAGCUGUGUUUGUGAAUAAGGCGCACCAAGACAUCUUUACUAAGCAUGGCAGGCAGAGAGAGAGAGAGAGAGAGAGAGAGAGAGAGAGAGAGAGAGAGAGAGAGAGAGAGAGAGAGAGAGAGAGAGAGAGAAACACUGACUCUCUAUUUGAAGCUGUACCAUAACAAGCCUUAAUAAGUUAAUGCAAAAAGCCUCCCAAGGAGUCUGGCUAUAGGAGACACAGGUCUCUACUGAAUCAAAAUUCUGUUAUGUUGUAAUAUAAUAGAUGUAAAUUAAAACAGAAAAUCUAUCAUGCCUCUAAUGUACCCUGAUAGCUGAGUCUGUGGAUCCGGACGAGCAGAGGCACCCGGAGGAAGGGUGAUAUAUGGCGGAGCUGGAUGGAGGGUGAAAAGCGUGGCGAGAUGAGCGGGAGAAUGGCGCAGCCCGCUUGCGCUCCUCAGACCCAAGGGCAAGAGACGAAUAAAUGUUGAUUAGUGUUGAUUUUGUCCGACAAACGCCUGUCGAGUGACAGUUGGGCUAAGCUGCACUGAAAGAGAACCAUUAAUCUUGGUCUGGUUUAAGUAGAGUAUAUUAAUUUGUGUCAUUUUUACUAAGUCGCGCUGAGAAAGGCCUCUCGCUGCUUUGCAUCUGACUGCUUUGGUGGUUGAGCCUUAAUCCCCCUCCCCUCCCCCCCAACCCCACCCCCCGUUUUCUAAAACAGAUACUACGGUGGCAGCGGUGGCAGCAGCAAAUUCAAAUGGCACAGCAGGGGAGCAGGGGACUGAGAGCUCCUCUCUUGGAUUAAGAAAGUAAACUCCCAGGGUGUUGGCAUGGCAACAGCAUUGCAGAUGAACUGCUAUAUAUUCAGUGAUUAAUAAAUUAACAUUUUUUACAGUUGUUCCUCCGUUUCUCUCCACCCCCACCUUCACAAUAACCCCCCUCCCCCAUACACACUUCACCCUUCUCUAAGCUGCAUCUCUUGCCUCAGUGUAGGGGAAGGAAAGAAGAGGAGCCGACACAGCUUGUGAGUUUGUGCCAGCCCACGACUGCUGUCUCUACAGACCUACAGCAAGGCCUCUGGUCACUUAGGAUGCUGUCAGCGGGCAGUGGGACCAGCAGACAGAUCCAUGAAGAAACCCAUGCCUGUGCUUCAUUGGACAGGGCGCCAAGCGAGAGAUGUUGCCAGCAGCAUGCCCUAGCCCCAAGCUUGGGUCUUUCAAGCCCUGGCAGGCUAGGAAAUAAAUGAGAGAUCUUCUCUCCACAGAACUGUCCCUCAAUGUCAGUGAUAGAAUGGGGAUAACUAGCUUCCCAUAGGUGUGUUACACACACACACACACACAACACACACAACACAACAAAACAAAAAAAACCAACAAGCAAACAAAAAACCUUGCAUCACGGGGUGGUGUGAGUGUAUAGACAGAGAGCUGAUAUUUCUUCUCUUGGGAGUUUCUGGUCCUCCCAUGCAUUAAGUCAGUGGAUGUGGACAAUUCCAGAAAUGGAACUUGACCAGAAUUCUGAGAGAGCAGAGAGAGGCAACAGACUUUCAAGGCUGCCCUGUAAGGCCGGUCCUGACAGUUCCAACUCAAACUCAGGAUGCACUGUUUCCAUAGAGCCUUGGGAAAUGCUUAUCUAUCGAAGUGUGGAUUUGGCUUUCCAUAGCUUUGCCCUGUGGAUCUCAUUACUAUAGCCAUCCUAUUGUCUUGGGCAGCUCAACUGCCAUGGACUGGGAGGGAUUCUGCAGAAAGCCACUAGCACAGGCUCCAUCUGUGAGAGUGAGUGAGCCCCAAAAAGUCCCUAUCACCCCAGAAAGUCCCAGCUCCAGAUCAGGAACCGAAGAGGAGAGACACUCGGUGAGCAGCCUAGGAGCUGCCCCCAAAUAAGAAAAGAAACAAUUUAUUCUGUGCACACUGCAGAAGACAAGACUGGGACCAAUGGAGUGCUCACAUGAUAGAGAACGAGUUUCCAAGGAAGAAGAAAAACAUCCGCCUAAGGCCACACUAUAAAGAAAUGGGUAAUGUCUCCCCGAACAGUCCCAAGAAGUCCCAUCCUUAGUGCAAUGGGGAAUUAAGUAACAUACCAUUUAGGGCACCUCCAAGUCACUGCUAAGGGUAAAGAAAAUAAAUCAUAAAAGCAAAUCCAUUAUGAAGUUGAACAUGGAUCAGAUACCAUCUAAGUUGCUUUGUAAGUGUUUUAAUAAACUGAUGGGUGCUUAGGGGAAGGGGCAGUGACAGUCACCGUAAGAAGUGCCUCACCAUGAGGUGUGCACCUAUACAGAAGACUCCAACAUUAUUCUAUGGGGAUUAGGGAAUUGAAGCCAUAGCACACCCAAGUCACCCCGCAUGUGAAGGAAAGACUUGGGAUUCAAAUCCAGGCAGACUGCAGGGUCUGUGCACUGUAGACCAUUGUCCCUUGGGCUGUGUGACACAUGUGGGGAGGUGCCCAGGUGGCACAAUGCAGCACUGCACUCAAGUUCUACCAGUUCCAGGAAACAGCUAUGAUGAGAGGGAAGAAAUGGGCGUUGAAAAUGCUGGCAAUAAGAAAUGAUGGGAAUAUGCAGAGAACGCUUGAAGGCAAAGGCAGGAAGGUCUUGAAGAAAAAGGAAGUGACACCAUUCAUUUGAACAUGAUACCCUACAUUGGAAAUGUACCCAGAGCAUUAGAGAUACUAAGUCUCAAUCACAACACAUUACUGGUCAACUCUUUGACCCUAGAAGAUUGGAGGAUUUUUAAGUCUCUCCCCAGUUUUAAUUCCCAUAUAAGUAGGCCAAGCCAGAGACUUUCAGUGUCUCCCCAGAUGAUUUCCAGAAUCACUCUAAUGGUAUCUUCUGAUGUUAUCAAGUUUCCCUCUUCUACUACCGCCAAGCUUGGAGCCAGUACCAAUGAGCUUGUGGGGGUGACUCUCUCCAGUCCAGGAAUCCCAUGUGUGUUCAAAGCGUCCAUGCUACAGAUUCCACCUUGUCUGUUAUUGCAGUCUUGGGUUUUGGAUGGGGGUUAAAGUUAUAGAUUGAGAGAAGGGAAAAGUAGGAGGUUGACACUGUCAAGCCCAUGGUGGUCAAAGUGCAUGUUCCACCUUAAUAAGACAUUUCUUCACAGAUGAUGGAAUUCUCUAUAAGAAAGGUCAGUGAAGAUGGCUUUCUGUCAACUCCAUAUCCAGGAGGAAGAAGGUUAGGGCUGGUGCGCCAGCUCUUACCCAUCUUCAUUCAGAGCUUGGCUUCCCCCCAUUCCACCACUGGAAUCACAAGAGCCUCCUAGCCCCUAGGGAAAAUGGGUGGCAUCCCCAGAGGCAAGAUGCAGAGCUACGAGGAACAGGAGGAGCAAAGCCACGUGUUCCUUUUCUUGACAACAUCUACCCUAGUCCAGCCAUGUCAGGAAGGUGCUGAAAGGGAUAUGAAUGCUUCGGCUAUGGCAAGGUCCUAUGGUUUCGGGGCAGAACGAUCAUAGGUCAGGCCGAGUAAUCAUGAUGAUAACAAUAACAGUAUCUGUAUUUGUCCAGAGACGACCGGAUGGCGUGAAGGGAAUCACAUUAAAUCCAAGAGGACUCAGAUAAAAUGAUGCUAAGGGUCAGACCGAAUCUAACAACAGUCUGUGAUUUGUGGCCAUGCCGCUGCUCUAAUUUGCCUCUCUACGGCUGAUGGCCCAUGAAGGUGAGGGGUGUUAUUGACUGUUACUGGGCUUGGCUCAUAGUACAAGCAAGUCACAGCAUCACUGGCUUGGUCCCCGACUCUGCUACAGUAGAUCACCCUUCAAAGGAUAUUUCUUUCUUUCUUUUUUUUUUAAAUACAUGAAAAGGAUCAAAUGUGGACCAGAUACAUUUUCAAUUCUUUCAUUUGAUUUUCCCACCUUGAUUUGCUACAAAAGCUUUAUUACGUUACUGACUUUACAUCCAUGUUGUUUUAUUCUUGUUUGUUUAAAGGCAUAACCAGAUGCAAGUGUCUUUCUACUAAAACAAUAUGUCUUGUUUAUAUAUUAUCUAUGGUCGACUGUAAACAGUAAUGGCAGGGGCUGUCUUUUUCCUAUCACACUUGCAAAUAUGCCCCGAGGCUAAGUAGCAAUGAGCUUCUCCAAUAACUAAAAUAAAUAAUGAAUUAAGUAAGUGAACUUGGCCCUCUCCAUGGUGGGGGAUUUAUCUCUGUAAAAGGGUCACAGCAGAGUGACAGCUUUUACUUUCCUCUCUUACUUAAAUUUUUGCCCACUCUGUCCCCCGCCCCCAUGCCUUUGUCAGAUGAAUCUGAGAGCUUUGCUUUUGGGUACCUCUGUGGUGUUUGUAUCCAAACAAUGCGGCUUCUUCCAAAAACACUUUGAACAUUGAAGAAAGAAUAAUUUGUUCUUAUGCCUACAUUUAUAAAACUAAUUUUUUUAAACCCGAACUUUCUUUAAGCACUCUAGCCAGAUGGUGGCCUUUUAAAGGUAUCUAGAAUAGCAAGAAAAAGAAAAGGGAGGUGGGGGGAAAGGGAAAGAAAGAGAGGGAAGGAGAGGGGAGGGGAAGGGAGGGAGAAGGGAGGGGGGAAAGGGAGGAAAGGAGAGGGGAGGUGAAGGGAGGGGGGGGAAGGGAGGGAAGGGGAGGGGAGAGGAAUUGUACUCAUUAGGUUGAGAAACUACUUGCUUGGCUAACCUCAGAAUCUGAGUUCCAUCUGCAAAACCUAUGUACAGAAAAGCUGGGCAUGAUGACACAUGCUUGUAAUCUCAGAGAUGGGGAGGCAGAGACAGAUGGAUUCCUGGGGCUUGAUGAGCAGCCAGACUAGACUAUUUGGUGAACUCCAAGCCAGUGACAGAUGUGUCUCAUAAAAACAAGAUGGACAGCUAAUGACGAAUGACCACAAGGCUGUCCUCCAACUUCUCCACGAAAGGACAAAUGUGUACCCCUGUGAAUACAUACAUAUACCUUCACCCACACUUACACACACACUCACAUAUAUACACACACACUUACACACAUACACAUGCACCUUUACCCACACUUACUUACACACACACACACACACACACAUACACCCUCACACAUCAACCUGCACGAUACAGAACUAUCCAUUUUGUGUAUUAGGAAGGGUAUUUUCUGUUCCUUCCCGUUUCUCUUCCGUCUAGCCCACAGCUAUAACUUCUGCCAGGUCCUCAGAGCCCUGACCCAGCCUGAGUGCUAUUUCAUAAUCCACACUGUCAGGGAGGGACAGGGAGCUACUAGGAAAGCUGCUGGAGCUGAUAAAGGUGGCUUUAGAGUCUUGCCAAGUGCGACUUUCCCGUGAUGAUGCCAAAUGCACGUCACUCUCAUUUCGAUACGAGCUGUAGAGGGAUGAUUAAGCCCAUUAUCAAAGCAAAGAUUCAAAGAUUGCACAAGAGAAUAAUUGCCCAGUACCCAGUGGGGCAAUGUGACUCACAGGAAAGAAUAUGGACUACGAAAUCAGAGACGCCUGGAUGUCAUUUACUAGUCGUAGGAGAUUGGGCAAUUCAUUUAAUAUCUUUAAGGUUUAGUUUCCCCAUCUGUCAAGUGGGAACAAGAACCUUUCUCAGAGUCAUUCUCUGCCCUUUACACAUAUUAUUUCAUGUCACCUGCUUGGUGGGGACCCAGUGGCUAUUGGCUUUCUCUUUCCUCUGUGUCCGGGUAACAGAAGAGAGACACUCAGCACAUGGUUUCUAUUUCCCAGGCUGAGAGGAGUAUGAAUGGCAAAUUGCUUAUGGCUGCAGGCAACCCAUAUAUGAAACCAGCAGACUUGAGAACAGCACAUCAGAGCCGGAGAGUGGAAAAGACCAAGCGAGGGCUAAGCAGGGCUUGCUCCAUCUCCUCAAAUGUUGUAUUACUCAUCCACAAAAAACCUCACACUCAGAUUUAAGACACUUAGGGGGGAAAAAAUUGUUCAGGAUCCUCGUUCACACCACCCAAGAAAGAAGCACACACUCUUUCCGUCUCCAUCUGUACGGGUGUACUCUCCCAUCUGAAUCCACUCAUGUCAGCCAUACAGCCGUGUCGGUCGCACGCACUAGCUAGUUCAGUGACGUUUGCAAAACAUAGAACAAAAAUGUACAUUGUUUCGGUGUUGUUUUUAGUCACCUUCCUGGAAAACAUGCAUUGAUUGUAAUAUUUCUCGUGUCAUCUGUGGGCUUGGGCACAGUCAUUCAUACCGUCUUUCAUAAAAGAAGCAGUCAAAAUAUUGCUCAGAAAAAAAAAAUAGGUAAAGAGAUGUACUUUCACAUAAUAGCAUCAAAAUGGCUAACACAUCCCCAGGUCCCACUUCUUCUUACGUAGCAGUUGGCAAGUGUCUCAGACCUCUUCCUGAAAACGAACUGGAAAUUUACGUGGUACAACCUCACCUCCUGUCAACAUUUGCCUAAUGGGCCCUUCCCAAAGUCUCCAUCUAUGUCUUACAGAAAUGCUGACGGGCACAAGAAAAAAAUUAACUUGAUAAUAAUUUCUGUCCUAAAGAAAUAACUAAUCAUGGUACAGUGGAAGUCUCAGCAGAGGCAGGGGGAUGUGCUUUCUGAUCUGCAGGACAAAAUGACAUGUGGCCUCCGCAAGCCACAUGAUCUUUGGGCCUCGGUCUCCUUAUAGAUGUAAUCAGUGGACUAGAUCAGAUUUAUUAUGAUUCUCUUGCAAAAUAACAUUGCAUGCAUCAAAGAAUGGGAAGUCCACGCCAGGGACAAACCUAGGAAUACAGAGAUGGAUCCAAAACUCAGAGUCUGCCUUGCAGUUCCUAGCAACCCAAGCCUAGACAUUCCAAACAACUUCUUCCCUCCUCACGCCCACGGGCACAGCACAGGCUGUGUCCCUGCCAGUCACACACAGCUCCGAUCUGAACCCAAAGUGAUGAACACAAACCGAUUUUUCCCUAAUAUUUAGAACACGGGUGCCAGCUUCUUCCCAGUCUUUGGAGGAUUGGGUCACAGAGACGUGGCAAAUGAUUAAUGUAGGGACAGCCACAGCAGUCUGAGAAACAGGAUGCCUGGCAUCAAAGAGAGGGAGAAAUGCCACAUAUGGCCAAAGUAGGGGCCACAGCCACGACCCCUAACUGAGUGUUUGUGGCCAGCUCAAACAGGCGUGCCCGACAUAGAGGAUCUUGAGUGAGGAUGUCAUUCCACUCCACCCUAAGAAAGGAUGGAACCGUUGCCAUGGCAACAAAGGUACUUGAGAGGGACAUGAGCAAAGGGAGACUUAAAAAGAAAAAGACAAUAUGUGGCCUAAACAAAAAUGUGACUGCGCAAGGGGUGCUGUAAAGCCUUUACUGCCACUUGUUAAGGAAGACCUGUAUAGCUCACUCGUGAGUAAUAAGGCGGUCAACCCAAACUCAGGCACUAAAAAUUUUAUAGCACCCCACAUAUCAAAUAUAUCCAGAUAGAUAGGGAAACAGCAAGAUACAUACAUAAAGGACUUCCACGGAUACACUCACAAACACAAACAAACGUUGGGCCCGAUCCUGGCCAGGCUGCCUUCAAAUAGAGUCGUUAAAUUUACCAAUAUCCUCAAUUUAUCGGCUAUCAAAUUCCACGUCCCAUCAAUUCAGUUCUUAAAAGGUUCAGAAGCUCGGCGGUAAUGAGAGGGAACGGUAGGGCUUCCCGGGGAGUCCAGGCAGGCCAGGUGCGGAGGGCUAGGAUUCCAGGUUGGAGUGGGGAUUCCACAGGUCAUUUAUAACUUCACGGCUGGAUUAAACGGUCCCUGCUGCCAUUAGGGACCGUCAAGGUGACUGCCAGAGGCCUGAACAGAGAUGGUUAGAGCCCAGAACAGGAGCAGGGGAGUAAACACUGCAGGUUCUCUGUUCCUCGCCCUGCCCACCCACAAACCAGAAAUGUGCUGUGGAAUCACUUGUACACUGGUUUACAGUCAGCUUAGACGAUGAGACUAGAAGAUGGGUGAUUAAUAGACACCUAUAUUAAACUAUUUUUAGAAUAGAUUUUUUAAAAAAAACCCACUUUGGAAGAUUUCUUUAAUUUUCCCCUCCAAAUUUUUCCAAGUGUUGGCAUUCACAAGCCAGGUAAGCUCAUUAGCACAGGGCUAGGAGUAUGUACCCACCCCCGCCCCCUUCCUCCCCUUCCCCCACUCCGCAAAGCAAUGCACACUCUUCUCUGAGUCACCUGAGUCAGAACAGGUGCAGAGUGGUGUCUUGCAGGAGUCCACGCUCUAUUUACUGUGGUUCCCAGCCACUUAUUUCCAAUUUAUGGUCCCAGCAGGGAACCAGCUUGGGUCCAUUCCGAGGCCUGGUCCUGGACUUCUCUAAAUACUUCAGGAUGAAAUGGGAGGGGGAAAAUGAAAUUGCCUGGAGAAAUGUCCCAAGCUCAUCAGGGAGGUGGCAACGCUCUCAAGACACAAUGCAUUGGUAUGACUCCUCCUGUUCAGCCAAUCUAAAGCCUAAGUAUAGAUAUAUGUCUGCCUGGCUACUAGAGAGAUAUCUGUCCAGAUACAAAUGGUCAUGGGAGUCCCCUUUCAGAAAUCAGAAUAUGUGAAUAGCAUUGCUUCUCCAUCACACUGACUUCCUACCUUUUACGUGUGUGUAUGUAUAUAUAUACACACGUUUAUGUGUGCAUAUAUGUAUGGGCCUAUGUAUGUGUGCAUAUGUAUUUGGGGGCCAAAUGUUAAUGUCGGGUAUCUUUUUUCAGUUGCUCUCCACUUUGGUUUUUGAUCUAUCACUGAUCUAUCACUGAACCUAAAGCUCACUGCCAGGCUAGACUGGCUACCCAGCAAGCCUGGAUAUCCUCCUGUCCCUACCUUGACCCCUCAGAACUGGGCUUACGGAGGCACACUGUCUCAUCUGGAUUUUACACAGUUGCUGGAGAACUGAAGUCAGGUCCUAAUGCUUUAUGGCCAUCACUUUACCAACUGAAACAUCUUCCCAGCCCUGGUUUCCUAGCUCUUAAAACUUCCAUUAAGAGAUACGUGAUUUCUUUUCCCUGCCAAUCUGCAUUGUACGUGAUGUCCAGGGUCUGUUCUCAAAGGUCACCAUUUCUGAUGCUUCAAGGUCAAGAUGAAUCCCAGCUCCUACCAAACUCAGUGAGACUUACGCAACUCCUGCUGACUGGAGCACACAAGGGUUGCAGAUGACACAAUGGUCAGGCCAAGUGAUUGCCAGUCACACAUCUGUACCAGAGCUCUCAGAAAUCAAUAGGGCUCUUAUAAUAAUCGAAGUUCAACGGCCUUCAUUUGUGAAGUGUUAAAUGUGCCAAGGGACAGAGUUAAAGCUCAGGCUAUGAAAAGGGACUGUAAGUUACACUUCCUUUAAAAAAAUUAGCAAAUGGUUCAUUUUUCCUGAAGGGGGGGAAAAAGGCAUUUUCAAUUAGGUGAGUGGAAGGACGCAUACGCUGAGUGCGUUCUGCUGGCGUUCUAAGUGCUUUUGAAACCCCUCCUGUCAAGGCGUUAGUAAUGCAAGAUUUAAGAUGCCCAAUUAAUUUUUUCCAGCCACCAGCCAAAAGUAGAUGCAGGAGGAGGUUAAAAGCUAAGUGUUUAAUUAAUAUUAAAUUUAUAAGAUUCUCUAUCACUGAAAGCAUUGUAAAAUUGAAAAAGCAGUUAAUUUUAUGGUUGCUGUGUAUUCUUCUGCUUUGAUCUUUGAUCUAUGAUAUAAAAUCACCAACUGUAAAGAUUCCUCAGCUUUAUCACACCUGUUUAAUGGUGAGACGGAAGGAGGAGAGGGGGAACCCAAGACUUGGAGAGGAGUUGGACUCUGAUACUAGUCACUACCAUCGAUUCCAAAAGCCGAGCAAGCCAGAUGCAGAAACCAGCCCUUGUCUUGGUGCAUAUACCACGACCUUGCUUGUUCUUUAUGCCCACGUUUCUAGUAUUAAGAAGAACAAACUGUGGGAGGCCAUCUUUUGCCUAAUACAAAACCCUAAAGUGAAAGAGAUUUCGGCUGGAUGAUGAAAGAAUUUUCUAAAUCUGAGGCUAGUCAAGGCCUGUAGUGUGGAACGUAGUAGAACUCAUAGUUAUUGAGAUUUGAGUGUGCAUCUGCCCUGAGCACCCUGCAUGAUGAUCGUUCUUCUAAGAACUCCUGCAUAGGUUCGACCAUGUGAAGAAACCCCAGGUCUAAAUCAAGACAGCUUGGGCCUGGGGAAUAGGUCCUCUUCAACCAACCAAUGGUACUGUCAAAAGCUAGCAUUGGUGAGGAAGGAGUAUCCAGGGAGAGAGGGAGGGAGUCUCAGUUAACACACAGGGAAACAGCUAUCCAAAUGUUUUUGUUCAGGGGACUCAGGAUGUGAGUGGGUUGGGAGAGUGUUUGCCUAGCGUGUCCACAGCUCUAGAUUGGAUGGAUGGCCCAGCACUGCAUAAACUGAGCAUGGUUGUGUAUACCUGUAAUUGUAGCACUUGGGAGGUAGGGGUAGGAAAACCAGAAGUUCAAGGUUAUCUUUAACUAUACAGCUAGUCUGGCUACCUGAAUCAAUACCCUGGUAGUCACAGUGGGUAAAGGCAGUAGAAAAGGUCCAGACUCCAGAUGCUGUUUCCUGGAGACCUUCAGGAAAACACACACACACACACACACACACACACACACACACACACACGUUUCUAACAAAGGGCUGUCAUCUAUCAUGAAUCCUCAAAGUAGGAGGGUUGACACAUCUGAAAUACAGUCAUCAUUGACCCUGUAAAAGCAUCGAGUACUUAGCUUUGUCUCCCUACCACACUCCGGAGUGGGGAGUGGCAGGGACAGGGACAACAGAGGUCUGGGGAUAACAGGGCCUAGGGAUAGUCAAGACUUUCUGCCUAAGAGAAUGUUAUGACCUAUUCCUUAAAAGAGAACAACAAGAGUGAAUUUCCAGCUCCAGGCCUCUCUCACUUACGUCUAAAACACAGAAACAAAGGCCUAUUAUGCAGAGUAGAUUCCUAGAGAGGGAGGGGGGGGGGGAACCCAUGUGAGGUGGGUUUAUUUUUUUUAUUUAAUUCCAUCAGGGAUCUCAUUAUAAUUUCAUUAUUAGCAGAAAAACCAAAUAAGUGGCAAGAAAAAGAAUCUCAACUUAAUAUUAACACACACACACACACACACACACACAUACACACACACACAAAGAUGAAAGGUCUGUUGAGCUUCAAAGUGACUGCUAAUUUUCCUGGCUUCAAACAACUCAGUGAGGAAGACAUUGAUAAUGAAUGUGCUUUUUCCACGGGCUCUCUGAUAAAUCUUCCCCCUUCCAGUCUUCCUCCACAGAACAGGUUCUCACUUUUAUUUAGGGACAAGGAGCAGACAGAAGAGAAGAUCUCGGAUCCAGACGGGACUCUGCCUUGAGAGCUUUAUCAGUACAAUCGCCAGGGAAAGAGACCAGAGGGGGAAUGGACUAUGAUGUUUAUAGGAAGCCUGAAGAUGUGGAAGUGGAAGGUGUAGAAAGAAAGGUCCUCUUCCCGAGUUCAAUUCCUAGCACUAACAUGAUGGCUCACAACUGUAACUCUAAGUCCAGAGGGUCUGACACCCUCCUCUGACCUCACUGGGCAAUCCACAUUCACUUGACAGCAAGACACCUAUACGCAUUAUAAAGAGUGAUUUUUAAAAAUUAAAGGCUACGUAGAGAAACUUCACAAAGUUUUUGAAGCCAAGUCUUAGUCAUGUCUAGAAAGUGCCCAUUAGGGGAGUUAAGGAGAGAGAAGGACAAGACGUAGACAAAAUGCUACAGAACAGGGCCAUAUUUUUUUUUUCCCAAAAUCUGUUCAUUUAAAAGGGGCUUUCAGGCAGAUCUCCUUGGCACAUUCUCCAAGAGACACCUGUGACUGCCCGUUAGAAGAUGGAUUCCCUCCCCAUCCAAGAGGUUAGCACAGGCAUGGCUGGCGGCCAUAUCUAAAUAAAGACUACGAAAGGUCUUAGAUGUCAAGAGGGCAUUAUUUAAUAAGUGGAGUGAUGUAUAGUUGUUCUUCUUUACUUUCAAAAUAAAUCCUUUAAGGUACCACAGCAAGGCAAAAGAAGGAGGGCUCGGGUCCCAGCUAUGGAGGUACCUCUGCCCCCGAGGUUCAUGUCCUAGGACUGUACUAGAAGAAGUGAUAUUUAAAAAAAAAAAUUAAAAAGAAAACUGCAAGGGACAGUUACUUGGCAUUCCACAACUAUGGUAGACAUAGGUUUAGAGCUCUAUAAACCAAAGCAGAGGUGUCUGUGAUGGGGGUGGGGUACACUGCUGGGAAGACAUGACAAAUAUGCCCUGCUGCCAAUAACCUGAUAAAAUACAUUUCAAGAGCACAAAACACUCUCCUUGUGUCUGUAGCUGUCUUUAUCCAUCAAGGAGCUGAAGACUUGAGACAUUUUCUAGCCGAGUGUGUGCUUCUGAAAGCUUUGCUGGGUGCUCAAGUGUGAUGCUGUGAGCCUACCUCUCUAGGUCACUUUAAUCAUAGAAAAAUAAAUAAAUAAACCAAAGCAAGCCCGUUGCUGGCGCUGAAGCCUCUAAGCAGGUACCAUCAAGGUACCCCAGGGCCCUGGUUUCUUCAUGAUGAGUUAGCAUACUUUCUAUAAAUACUGCUCGAUUCUGAGGGUGAGGUCGGGGUGGUGCUCCUACUCUGUAAAAAUAUAGCUCCAAGUUUAUUUUUUUUAAAAAAAGAGAGAGACAGUAAAGUAAUUAACAGACACCAUUAUGAAAAGUCUCAGAAACCUACGAUACGAUUUAGAAUUAAAACAUAGUCAAAAGUAAAAGCUAUGUGCUUACAUUUUUAGAAGUCGCUUGGAUGGCAACAGGUUAAGUAGAGGUUCCCAGGUAUUGUGGCUGUGGGGUCUCCUUCACAAUAUCACCAAAAAAAAAAAAAAAAAAAGAAAAGAAAAAGAAAAAAAGCAAGAACUGCUACUGAAGAAAUCAUUGUAACUGUAGCUUUUAUCAAUGGACUGAUGAUACAUAAGAAAACAGGAGAGGGAGUAAGAAAGGUGAAAACUCCUUUUUAGAUGUGAAGGUGCUUUUUGUCAACCAAAAAAGCACUUCAUACAUUCAAAGGCUAUUUAUCCUUAUGUUUGCAUGCAUGUGCACGUAUGACUGCACAUGUGUAUGGUGUAAUUACAAUGUUUGGUGUAUGCACAGAUUCCCCAAAUCUUUUCAGCAAUCCAUGGUCCUCCCGGGAUCUAGAUUGGGAAUCACUGUGAGAGAGAAAGACUCAGAGUGAAGAAAUCUAUGUCUCCACCAACUCAUUCAUGGAGAGAAAAUGACAUUCCCACAGCUGACUGAUUUUACACACACCACCCCUUGUUUUAUUCCCACCAACAAGAUCAACACGUUGAUAGACACAAUCCUGAUUAUUUCCCAGUUCACACAGUCUUGAUUGUUGGUUUAUAACACAAUAAAAUCUCCUUCGGGCACAAGAACCUAUCUUCUGUGUGUAUAUCUUCCAUUACAAAUCGCAAGUACAGAUAUUGUGGGGGAUAACAUAAUCAAAAUAACAUUUGGAACAAAGAUACAUGAGUAUGAUCAAUGGGACGGGAAAGCAAUUGCUUAAGAAACAUUGGAAAAUAAUUCUUUGGAUACAGACAGCCUUGUGGUUUUAGGACAGUUGAAGGAUGAUAAGAAAAAGGCCUUACCCUGAAGAACUAUUGACCCUGACCUAAAUGUGCUCAUGGACAUCCAUACUCCCAGUCCACACCCCCUCCCUCCACCUUCCUGUCUGAUUUCCACUCAUCCAUUCUUAGCUCCUGUUUGUCUGAGGCCACAUGCAACUGGAUUUGUCAAGUCCCCUCUUAGCAACUUGUUGUCACAGUCCAUUACCAAAUUGCAUAUAGUUAUAUAUUCCACUAAUUAGGCUUCUAAAAUAUCAUUAACAUGUCUCUUGAUCAUUAGCAUAACGUAUGAGGCGUCCUCGUUAGGCACGACUCGAGUUUGUUAACGUGGUAAUGAGAGGCACAAGGCAGGCUCCGCAGAGAGGCAUGGAGAAGUGGGGAACACAGAGGCACCAAGGAUCCACUCGACAAAGGUACAGAGGGUGACUGUGACAAAGGCAAAGAUAGAAAUAAAAAAAAAAAAAACAAACGAAAUGUGAAGAGCACACACAGUCCAUGCCAAAGGGACAUGAGCAAGCCAAUGAAGCUGGCUGGCAUCUACAUAGGUGCUUAGCAUAUGGUGGCCCUUAAGGCGUAUUCCUACCUUUAAGGCACCUGAAACCUAGCCCAAGGUUCUCAUCUAGCCUAAAUAGAAAUCCUUAAAGUUUCCUGGACAAGAAGAAAAUAAUAUAGAGAAAUCUUCCCAGAGACUAAAGUCAUAGAUGAACAUAGGUUCUUUUCUGGUACAUCUCCUCUUCAUUCCCAGGUACAGGGGACAACAGGCAAUCACUGCUGCAUGAGAUUAGAACUACUCAGGGUAACUUUCUUCUAACCCUCAGGAGGGCCUUUAUUAACACUGUCUCUGAGACCUCUCCCCUACUUCCUCGUGUGUGUGUGUGUGUGUGUGUGUGUGUGUGUGUGUGUGUGUAUGUGUGUGUGUGUGUAUGUGUGUGUGCACGCACACAUACCUGUAUCACUGAUGAUGGUGACAUAUGUAUUAAGACAGCUUUUUUUUUUUUAAUUUGGUUUUUCGAGACAGGGUUUCUCUGUGUAGCCUUGGCUGUCCUGGAACUCACUCUGUAGACCAGGCUGGCCUUGAACUCAGUAAUCCGCCUGCCUCUGCCUCCCAAGUACUGGGAUUAAAGGUGUGCGCCACCACAAAGAGCUUACCUGAAGAGAGAUCAUGGCUGUAUAUGUGCAGGGAAGAGAGGAUGGAGGCCAUUAAAGAAAUAGAAUAAGCUGGCAACUGGUAUAUACCAUGUCAGAUGCCAGUGAGCAUCCACCAGGCAUGUGGACUGAAGGGUGCGGUUUCAAAUUGCCACCUAAGACUACAUUUCCCAAUUCACAGAAAGGUUUCUAACUGUGCUUGAUAGGAUUCCCAGGGCAAGAAGAAAAGAAAGUGUUUGGUUUGGCCAACGGGUGGGGAAUUUGAAGAAGUCAGGAGAGAUGACUUUAUUGCACAAGCACACUGUUGUCUUUAUUUCACCCUCAACAAGGAAGUGCUAAGUCCUACUGUAUAGAGUCACAGUUAUAGGUUGAGGGCAUACAAGAGCAGCUCCAGAAACAAGCAAGAAGAUGCUACUCCUAGUCUGCCUAUGUGAGAGGAUCAACUGAGAACUCGAGAGUUUACAAUCUGACCGGUUUUGCUCAGCACAGCUAUUCUAGGCUAAUCUCUGAGACUUGGAAUCUCAGACAGAUAGUUGGAAGCACCCAGUGGACUCACAGAGCAGCACAGGAAGAAAAGUGUGCGGCUCUCCUGGAAUGACUUCAGCAAAAAUCCCACUGGACACAGGUGUCUAGCACUUCCUCAUAUGUUGUCUCCUCCUGUUGGGGGGUCCUUUCCAGGCUGGCCUUGCCUCCCAGGUCCAUAGUGGAAGAAAAAAAUCUGUGCACCCUCAAGUAUCAAGGCCAGAAACAUCACAGAAGACUGACUUAGUAAACUUAGGUGGCCCCUAAAUGGAAGUUUUCCAGAGUAUGCAGCUCACUUAAUAUCUGAAUGAAUGGUCCCAAUGGCCAAUGGUAAGAAUCCAGUCUAUGACUUGACAAUGUAAGGAUAUGCCACCAGGGCUCAUUUUCAGCGAGGAUGAAUCUAAGCAAUUGUUUCUCUGGAUCAGAGUGGGUGGGAGAAACUGAUCUCUCACUAUUAGGGCACAUGGAGGACAAUGACAGAAAGUGUCACCUUAAGAGCCUUUCCUAUUAGCAGAAUCAGGAGACGCCCUCUGUGAACCGCAAGUACAAUUCUUAUAUUUCAGCACCACAGAACCUUUUCUGGUCAGCUAUGGCUCUCCACCUAUGUGUCAAAGGAGUAAAGAAAACUCCCAAGGCCUGAGGUGAAGUCUGAAUGGAUUCAUCGUGGCAGGAAACAGAAUGGCCACCAAAAAUAUGGCUUUUUUUCACUAUUAUUUCCAUUCAGAUGGUCUGAAGGAUGGGGUAGCUCAGCCCCUACUGCAGAACCUGCAAGAAGCUAUACCCACAGCCCAGUCCCAAGGAACACCCCUGAGUGAUCCCUUACAAAGCUUUCUCACCCCUGUUAGACAGACGAAGUUCCUCGUAGAUAGAUUCUCAGAAGCUAGCUCUUUUCCCACUGGAGAAAAGAAAGAAGAAGCAAAAUACAAGGAGAAGGUAUAUUUAAAAAAAAAUUAAAAACCGGGAAAAAAAUUGAACCUCAAAACCUUCAGUUGGUAAUGACAAAAGUAAUCAUACAUUCAUUAUCUCACUCUGUACCCAGGCUCCGGGGAUGCACUUAGAGGCAAUUCUUUAACUCAAGCUGGUAGGCAAGGCAAUGGGACAGGAGGAAGAGAUGAAUAUAAAUCCACAGUGAUGCCUGGAUACAAAGUCACACAGACAAAAGGCUAAUUAGUUAGUAGGGUUACUUGUAAAUUGAUGGAAUGCCCUAGUGUUUGAAAGCAUGCAAAACUCAGAACUCAGGAGAACGACCCUGACAAAGAAUAGCCUCAAAGCAGCACCUCUGGGACACCCUCUUCAAAUAAACACAGUGGGUCUGCGCAGUGUGGCUUUUUACACUGGGUGUUUUAGAAAGAGUUCAAUGCAGCUGUUUGCCUAAGGCAACAAUGCGUUUUCUUAUUCCACAAGCUCUGACUUUAGAAAUGAAACAAAAAGUAAACUUUAACAGUGUCCCUGUAACGAUGGCCACAAAUUCAACAUCUGUAAACAGAUAGUGAUAUUCUAUUUAAGUUGGGUUUUUUGUAAGGCUGGUUCUCAUCUUGCUGAGAAGGAGAAGUGGCCCUACAUCUCUGAGUCAUGGUAGUGGUUCAACCUGCCCAGCUUUACUUGUUUGGAGCCUACUGCUCUCUCCCCGCUGUCCACCCUCAUCCUGCCCUGCUCUGAACCCAGCACACGGAAGGAUGAUGGAGAUGAUCCAGAAUGCAAUUACUGAUGGAGAAGAUGAUCUUAGUCUACCUCAUGGAUUGGGAGCGGCAGCUAAACAGGACAAUUUUGAAGUGACCUGCAGGCUGGUGGGAAAAUAGCUCAGUGGGUCAAAGUACUUGCUAUGUCAACCUGACCAUCUGUAUUUGAUUCCUGGAUCCCACUAUGGAAGGAGAGAAUUGAUUUCUAAAGGCUAUCUACGAAUCUCCACAUAUGCCAUAUGUCCUGUGGCAUGUACACACCUGCACACGCACACACACACACACACACGUAUGUUUUAUAAAAUGACCUGGCUACAUGUGGUGAUUGUUGCCUAUAAUCCCAGCACUCAGAUAAUACAGGAGAUGAUGGAUAUUUCUUUCUGAGUUCAAGGCCAGCCUAGUCUACAUAAUGAGUUCCAGGCCAGUCAAGGGUAUACAGUGAGAACCUGACUCAAGAAAGAAGGGGAGAGGCUUGUCACUUAUAAAUGGAUGCAUGGGGGGAAGCUUAAAACCAAUGUCUGUGGAGUAGGAGGGAAAGAUUCGAACACAGAACAAGCCAAACAGCCCCAGUGCUACAGAGCUCUCACAGAGGCAUCCCAGGUCCCAACAAUAUGACUUUUCCAAUUGAGAAAACUCCCUUGCCCUACUUUGGGAUCCCAGGUAAGAAUGUUUGGUUUUGUUUUAACACAGAACAGCUAUCAUAUCCAUAGAACAGCUUCCAGUAGUCCUUUUGCUUAUAGGAAUGACAUGGGCCAAGAAUGGGCACCUAAGUGCCUCUCCAGAGGGAGGGCAUGGCUUACAUGAGAAUAGGAAGGGAUGUGUCAUACACAGGAAGUGACCUGUUCUUUCCACAAAAGGGAGAGCCGAGAAUUCAUACCAAGGAUGAACACUGAAUACAGUCCAUGUGUCAGGAGCCUCACAAACUGCCACCGCCUUGUCGCCUGGAACACUGUCCUCUGAUUCUCCACACUCACUCCCCCAAGAGCCGAAUAACCAGUAAGCUGCUGCCCAAAAGAUAUUGUAAAUAGCUCUGAGAGAGUACAGUUCAGGCAGCUUCCAAUUAGCUCUCACUUAACAGUCGUUUUCUCCCUGCCAAGUUUGUGCAGUGAGAGCCCCAAGCCCCCGCCUGCUGUUUGGCUCUGGGUUUGGGAACACGGGAGUCAUGAUGGUGAUUGGGCCGCUAGAAGUCAACACGUGUGCAUAUGUACGAAGCCAGGGAGAGAGUUAAAACGUGCUUUGGGGGGAGGUCAGUACCAAGCACAGUCUGGCGGUAAGACCAAAAGCUAUGCAGAGUGCCAGGGAUCCACCUCUUUCUCUAGCUCUGGCCUACCCCUAACUUAGCCAGCUUCCAUUUAAUUAUGCCUGGUCAUUUUACCCUUUACCUACCCUCCAUCCUGCUCGGUACCUCUCCAUCUGAAUCUCAGUGGAGAUAUCUAGGAGCUAAAGACAAACCAAUGGCCAAUUAAAAGGUAAGUGCCUUGUGUUAAAAGCCAGGCCAUUCAAUAUUCAUAACUAGGUAGCUUUCGAUAUGGAUGAAGGACAAUACAAUCUAUAGUCAAGGCUAAUCGGGGCACCUCGUUUUGUAACAUAACCAAACACCUAUUCAGCUGACGGGUGGGAACCACCUGCUCUCUCCUCAGCAGACUUCGGCACUUUAUAAAUAUUAGAGAUGUAAAAGACCAAAGAGUUGUUAAUGUGUUUAUUUCCUUAUAAUGAAUUCUUCAGGCAACGGAGAGGAUCACCGAAGCAGAGCUUAGUUAAAAACCCCAGCUGAAUUUGGCAGCCCUACUGUUCUUUGGAGCAGCAUCUAAGUAGUACUGCAGGAGAGAGCGUAAAGAUUGUUCACUUGGGUAUAAUUUUUUUGAGAAAAGAGAAAGUGAAGAUUUAUCUCCCACUCUUACAUUUCUUUUUCCAAAUUAUAAGAUCAUCAGAUUCGGCACUAGACCUAUAGAACGAAAGAGAAACGAGAGAGGGAAAAAAUGCGCAGUAAGGCGGUAAGGCCGGACACAGUUCUUUUCAAGGUUGAAGCACAUGAACCUACUCAGCCCGUAGGGUUUCUCCUGCCAGCAACGGGAUUACUGUCUCUAGAACAGUCAACUUUACAGUCUGUUCUUAGAACCCAUAAGUAGUGCUUUUAAAUGUUGGUUAAUAAUGUGCUCGACUCUAUUUAUGGGGGAGGGGUGUUUAAUCUUUCUCAAAGAGUUAAGACAAGGUCACUUUAUAAAUGGACAGCAACGACAGGAAGUGAUUACAGCUCACCUAGCACAGGGCUUCCAGAGAACAAUCAAAUCAAGAUUCCUGCUCCCAGAAAGGGCUCUGUCCACUGGGAGGCAGCAAAGGCUGCCAGAAAGAGAAAUGGGCCCGAGCUUGGAGACCUGGGUUCUAGUCCCUGCAAGUAUCUUUAUCUUAGAAUCUUGGCAAGUGUACUGUGGCCAGCCAUAGGAUUCUGCCUAAAACUUAGGGCAGACAAAAAAAGAAAAAAUUAAACAAGAGAUGACGAAGCACGUAGGUGGUAAAGAUAGAAGCUGUAGGAAGAAGAUACACACACAUAACAGAAAUUUGAACUUUAUAACUUUCCCCCAGUGUGAAAGACACCUCUACCACAGAUAGUCAAUGAGACUAGAACAAAGCAAAUACAGUUGCGCAUCCACAUUUGCAGAUUUGGGACUGAAUUAUCCAGUGUAGAAUGAAAAUCAUGGCUGCCAAAUAUAGUUUGGGGCUUUUGCUGUUGUUGUUUGUUUGCUUGUCAUUGCUUUCUAAAUAGCUAUUAAUAUGCAGAACAUCACCAUUGGGUUUUUUUGCAUAAUAAAAUUCAGAUUGAGAUUAUUUAAAAUAUAUGAGUGAUCAUAUGGUGAUAUGCAAAUACUUAUGCCAUUAUGUAAAAAAGAAUUUGGGCAUCCUUGGAUUGGGUAUCGUGGAAAAGUCUGGAGCUCUUGGAAUCAGUACUGAGGUAUAAUGGCACACUAAAUACAGUAUGCUCCAUUCCUGUCCUGUCCUGUCCUGUCCUGUCCUGUCCUGUCCUUUCCUUGGCUUUUAGAAAUAGGAUCUCUCUGCAAAUCCCUGGCUGUUCUGGAACUCACUCUGUAGACCUGGAUGGCCUUGAACUCACAGAGCUCUCUGCCUCCUGAGCUCUCGGAUUAAAGGGAUGCAUCAUGAUCACCGGUUUUUAAAGUAUGUUUCUAAGGGUUGUAGUGAAGGAAGAUGGUCCUCGGGUCAAAUUAAUUCUGAAAAACGCUACUACACUAUACACACCCUUCUAGCAGAUAUACAACAGACAUUAUAUUAACACUCAGAAAAGGCUUGUGGUAAAGAAAAGUCGAACUUACAAACUCACUUGACAAUGCUCUCUCCUUUCACACAAACAAAUAAACACACACACACAAACACACACACACCAAGUAGAUGGCAUUUAAAGUUAUUUAUUUGAAUGGCAAUAAUGACUAGUUUUGAUUUGGAAAGUUAAUGUCAUUGAACCGCUGGUCAAGGUCUUGGGGGGCUAUAGCAUUUUAGCUACAAUACCCUCCUUAUUCUCUCUGAUUAGCAGCAGCACGUGUUUGAGAGGCAGCUGGCUAAGGUGAAAGGUUAAUUUCGUGGCCUUGAAUCUCAGUCCAGUGAACAGACGCCAAUGGGGGCUGGACCUCAUCACCUCGUUCUCAUUAGCUCUACCCAAGUGAGCUUAGGAGCCGAAGAAAAGAGCCUUAGUCACCAUCACAAAGGGAACUGGAACUAUAUCAUCACCAACACAGAACCAGUGGGCUCUACCUCAUAUGUUGAAGAAGUCACAAAAAAAAAUUAAUGAAGGUAAACUAUUUUAUCCUAUCAGGAAAGCUGGACUCUUGGGAGGUUUUAUAAUCAAGGCCUUGGGAUCCGGCCUCCAAGAGAUCAAGUUCCAAGUUCAUCUUUUAACAGCUAUACAGUCUCGAAUUUAACAGAUUACCUACUUGAAUCUCAGUCUCAAAACUCUAUCAAUAACAAUAAAGAUACCCCAUUCCUCAAAGGUUUUGAUGAGGAUGCAAGGAAACGAUGUUUGCCAAUGAACUUAGCACUGUGCCUAUCCCAGGAUAAGAACCAAUAACACUCAUAAUUACCCAUUUAUUGACCUGUUUACUUAUUCAUGUAUGUAGUUAGUUACUUAUUUGGGGGGAGGGCUGGGACCUGGAUUUCAGGGCCUUCCGCAUGCUUCCCAAAGAUUUCUCCCACUGACCUCCACUCUUAGUCUUCUUUCAAUUUGGUAUUUUGAGACAAGAUCUUAACUGAGCUGCUUAGACUAGCCUUUGCUCUGUAACUCAGGUAGUCCUUGAAUUCAACAAUCCCCCUGCCUCCGCUUCCCAAGUAGCAAGGAUUAUCAGUCUGUGUACCAGGACUGACUAUAUUGCUAUAUUUAAAGGAACCGAAUCAUGUCAAGAAUAAAGUAGGUAGCAUUAGCAAAAUCAUCAUCAUCAUCAUCUUCUUCUUCUUCUUCUUCUUCUUCUUCUUCUUCUUCUUCUUCUCUCUCUCUCUCUCUCUCUCUCUCUCUCUCUCUCUCUCUCUCUCUCUCUCUUAUUAUUUUUAUUUUGUAAUUCAUGAAAAAAACAUGUGCUUCUUAAACCUUUACUGAAAAAUCUCAGUGUGAGGCUGAGACGACUUUGGUCAGGUUUCCAUCCUUUGCAGAGAUUUCUAAAUUGAGAACUUCGAUGUCUGCAAAACAUGAUUCAGCUAACUAAACUUAUUUUAUUGGUACACUCCCAGGAAUACCUUUCUCAGAGGAGAUACACCCAACACGGCACUUAAUCCUUGCAAGGUAUUAUUAUGUAGCCUAAUUUUUUCCUAUCAAAACCAAAAUAAAGAUCGGAAGAUGAGGUUCCCAACCACACAUCAGAGGAGACAGAUGAAGAGUGGAGAAGUCUUGGAGGCAGAGAAAAACCUCAGGAGGCACAGGAGAUAAUACAUGAGGAGCCCAAGGACACUGACAGGAAUGGUAUGACUUCUGGCCUUGGCAUUGCUGCUGCCCGACCUGUUCAUACAUGGUAGCAGCCCAAAUUUGUAGGGCAGCCAUUUAAAGGCUACUAGGAAACUCUCAGCAGCAGCUCUAAGGCCUGAAUGGAAAGAGUCAAAAAUUCUCUUUUUCAUCCUUCCCCCCUGGGCUCUCAUCUUUGGAGAUUGCCAUGGUGACCACCUAGAAGGCAUCUUAGUAACCAAUACCCAUAUCCUUUGCCUUUCCAGAUGCCUGGCUCUUAAGCUCCAAGACUCUUUUAGGCAUGUGGGGCCAAAGGUAGCCAAAUUCCAAAGCCAACAGUGCUAGACAUGCCCUCUCUCCCUCCCUCUCCUACUUCACCCCCUCCUCUGGUGACAGGCCACCUGUAAUUGUCUCUUUGGUCUGACUUAUUGGUGAUGUGCAUAAUCCAAUGCUGCUACUAACUGAGUCCUUGCCCAGAACACACACACACACACACACACACACUUUAGUGACUUUGGCCAUGUCUAGUGACUGCUUCCCAGGGCCAUCGCAUCAAUCCAAUCAAUGCUGGAACAGCUGGCUCUUAAUAACACUGGAUUAAACAAAUCGAUUACAGAAAGGUCAAUUUGGUACCUAACAUUUAGAAUGUAGGGACCUGAGCAUUUGGCAUCUGUUGGGGACCAGUGCCAUAUAAGGUCAGGAAUCUUACUCCGGAGUAGAAUUCCUUACCUGAACAAAGGAAAUAUUGAUCCUGAAAAAAAAUAGUCAUGGCUUUAAUGUUCUUAUAUUUACUUGCAUGAAGAAAACUGAAUGAGGGGCAAAGAUAGCACACACACUGUUUUAAAAAUUCCUCGUGGUUGUGUGUGUAUAUAAUACUGCAUUCAACAAGACCAAGGUAAGAGGAUCAAACUCCACGCAUUUGUAUUAUAGUCAGAAAGGGGCCACCGGUUGGAAAGAACCGUGUCCACACAUGUCCUUUGACCUCCUGAGAAGUGAAAACGGUUGAGACAUCUCGGGAGAUGCUCACAGUCCACCUGACAUGUCAUGCAAAGGAAGCCUGAGCCUCCAGUUGGCUCUGCCCCCUGGAAACCUGCUUGUCAUUACCAUGUGUGCUGUGAGAAGCCCAGCCGAAUGCUGUAAAAUGUGUGGAGCCCAUGUUUUAUGAGCUGCCUCCACAGUUCAGAGGGUGAAAACAGGCAGAGGGAAGCGGGAUCGCAGACCCAUCAUCGGCCAGUUGGCAGACAUCAAGAUGCAGGCAGGAAGUCAGCCAAUGCUACAAGUCACAUGUCAACAGAAGUGAGGGAAUGGGGUGGGGGCGGGGGUGAGCACAGGGGGAAGGAGUGAGAAAGAGAGAUUGGGGGAUGGACAGGACAACAGGACCACGUAGCAAGCAAAGGGAGGUAUCUGUGGGCUGACCUGCUGCGGCCCGUGAACCCUGAGCACAGAAGGAAUCACAGCCAGUUAGGGAAGAGCUGCCAUCAGUGUCCUCAUUUUAGACUCCUUGAGCCUCUGCCAUAAAAGGAGGUGUGUCCUUGGUUAGGACAUGUAAUGCACUGUAAAAUGAGAACGGUUGAACCACUGGUCCAUAAAACAACAAAAGCAGCCCCACAGGGCUUUUACAAAUUUACACACGCACACACACACACACACACACACACACACACACACACACACACAGACACACACAGAGAAGGGACGGGACCACACUUCUCAACAGGGAACACCUCAAGUCUAGGAAUCAAAUGCCCAGGUACUGCUAGGCAUGGGCUGGACUGUGCUUGGCUUCAGAUCGGUCAUCCCACCAGACUGCCAUCUCUUGAGUAUAUGGGAGUCUUCUAGUCAGAUCCUACUUUAUCAGCAAGACACCAAGGCCUGACAGAUCCCCUAAAAAUCACCUCUCUGGUUCCAAGUGCUUUAAGGGGUCUAUCUUGUGGCAGGCUUAAAUGGAGUGUGCUUUAGGGAAAUCCUGCCUUUCACUCAAAAUUGGUCAAGUCCUAAAGUGGGGUUUGAGUUCCGCAUUUUCUUCCCUGCUUUCCCUAGAGAUGGAGACGGGGAAGAUAUUUGCAUUGUAUCCACUAAUUAUGCAUACUAGUUUAUUUAUUUAAACAAACAAACAAACAACAAGACCCAUGCAUAGCAUGAGCUAGGUAACUAGCACUGUGCUGACAGCUGUGUCUCGUCCCUGCCCCCCCCGCCCCCGCCCCAGGGGAGAGUCAGAGCUCGCCUACACAGCGAUCAUAAAAACAGAGUGUGCACACCUUAGGACACAGACACACAGACCCUGCUCUGGGGAUCCCAGGAUGAUCCUGGAGGGAGUUAAGCAUAGCUUUACUGCAAUCCUGACAUUUGAGCAGGUGGCUGUGGAAGCUCACUAGGCUGCACCGAGCCACGGGAAUGCACAUGAAGCAAAGGACACUGUGCAAAGGCUAAGAGUCCACCAAGGGUGUGACCUGCUCCCAGAAGAAGGACAAGUUCAAAAGUGGUUGGGUUUUGGAUUCAGUCCAGCCUGGUGUUUGAAAUACAUGUCUAAGAGAUGGCCCUGAUGGCGUGCCUACACAUAUGGUUAUAAAACAUUACACUUUGAAAUGUGGAGCAUAAGGCUUGAAUGAGGGCCCCACCUACAUCUUCUAGAUGCUGAGAAACUAGCGCACAGGGUUCCUGUUGUUUGUUUUGCUUUGUUUUACCAAUUUGCAUUUCUUUAAGGUAGAAAGAAAAAAAAUGCUUGAAAUAUUAUCUAUAUAUCUACAUACACAUGUAUGCCAGGAUAUCUACAUCGAAAGGUUUCUUUAAGGAAAGUCUCAUGUGGUAUUUCCUACAUGCCAGGCACUGCUAUAAACACACUGUGUUUAUUAGAUACAUUUGAUCUGCCCAGUAAUCCAGUAAGGUAAAGUCUUUCUUGUUCCUCAUACCUAACCCAUCAGGCAGAGAAGUAUCAAAUAACUUGCCAGAGUUAAUCAGCCAGUUAACAUCGGGGUCAGGACUAGAAAAUGAAGACUCUGUGGCCAGUGUUCCUCGCCACCACUCUCACCCACCUCCUCAGGAGACCCUGGUACCAAGGUCACUCCUGGAAGGGAGACCCUGACAGAGACGGAAGCGCCAUGACCUUUCACCUUUCGCCUUUUCCACCCUCGGAGCAGGUGGUGGGAGUGGGUGGGCGGGCAGGGGGGUGCUCCUGGGGAAUGCCAUGCAGACAUUCCUUAUAGAACACUCUGUGCCUUUUGAUUCCAAAGAAACAAAUGGUAAGCUCAGAGACAUGGAGCUGUGCUGAGUGCUUUUAUAGUCACAGGUACUGAGCACAGAAAGGUAGAGGGGAGGCAGAAGGAGGAGACCACAGGCCAGGUCAGAAAUGUGGUCCCUCAGACCCACCACAGGGUAACCUCCCCAGGGACCCCUUUCAUUCCCAGUUCAGUUCAACUCCUAAAGCCACUGAGGCUGGAAAUUAGGAUCUCAGCAAGACAGCACAGUCCAGGGCAGCUCCCAAGGCUGCAUUUGCAAACAGUAGGUGGCUGGGAGCCUUAAGAGCCAAGAAGGAAAACACCUCACCCUUCACCCACACUAGAGAGAUCAAGACCCCACCUACUCCCACCCCCACUCCUCGUUCCCACCGGCUUGAACUAGGAGCCCACAUAUUAAUUAUACCAUGCCAUGGUUCAUUUCAGCAAAAACCAACUAUCAUCCUCCUGACCUGGGGGGUUAAAAAUUCCCUCAUUGAGACGCUGAAAAAAGUAACAUGACAUCAUGUUGCCUGUGUCAGGUUUAUAAAUGGGCCAGGGGGAGGCAGGGGUGUAACCUGACACUAUCAAAACACCGGCCCUGCUGCAAGAAAGAAGGCCAUUGUUGGAGGCUGUCAGCUCUCUUCUAGCUGGAGGUAAAGUGAGAUUCAAGAAACAUUAGCAGGAGGCCAGGCGCUGUGCAGGCCCCUGACUCCCUGGUCGGCUAAGGAAUCAGGCAGGCCCAGGUCCCCACUUCCUGUGGGGUAUGUCACCCCAGGUUUUAUUCUCCUAAGUAAUUUUUAUUCUGUGCCUCAAAGUAAAGGAAUGUUUAACCCAAAAACAAGAAAGUCCAGGGGCAUUUUUUUUUUUAAUUUCUGGAGCAAGACUAUUUUCCUAAGCAGACAACCAGAGAGGGAACGAAGAGGGUUAUAAGCACACAGGGUUGAGAUUUCUAUAUGAAAGACAGAAAUGGAAGCCUGUUGCAAAGCUAGACAGACAGACCACCUCAGAAAGGGUCAAGUGGACCUCUUACCCACAACAAUAUUCCAAAGAAACAAAAUUUUGAAAACUUAAAGACACGAAGUUUCCAAGUGACGGGCUGGGGCUAUGAUCAGGACCCAAGUGAUAAAAUGUGGUGUGUAUUACAGAGUCAGGAGGGACAGACAUGGACUGGCCAAAGGACAAAGAGUUGUUACAAAUAAUAAUUUAAAAAAAAAAUUGAACACACAAAAGGAGACGGGAAAGGAUUUAUGAUGAGCGAAAGUUCAGAAAACAAAAAGCUAGACAAUAGAAGCUAGCCUGACUGGAGAUACAAUUCAUUGUCCUGGAUACACAUUUAAUCUGAAGUUUCUCUUUUCUUUCUUCCCCAUCUCUCAGCUCAAGCUUGAAGGAAAGAAGAGCAUACAAACAGACCCUCCAGGGCCAAAUGUGUACAGAUACUUGUGGCCUGGGAGCCAGGCGGGUAUGGUCCGCCAGCUAGUCUUGCUCAGGGGAGAGACCAUUUUUGUGAUCCUCAGGGCAGGCCUUGACUAAGGUCACAGGGGCUCAGCAUGUCAGCUGGUUGUGGGUAGCUCUCCUGGUAUUCAGCUUGCUUGUUUCCACCCAAGUAUAACCCUAGCAUCAGUCUGUCUACAAGGACCUUAACCUCUCAAAACAGCUCUCUCCACCCACCCCUCAUGCCUCCUGGGCUUAAUUCACCAAGCAAUUAACAGAGCAGCCACACAGACCACUGGGUUCCUAGUUAACUGCAGCUUUUAUGUUAACCCUACCACAUCUUCUUUGGAACAAAACAGGGACCCCCUCAACUAAAGGAUAGUGGCGCCCCAUGGCCCAAGAGUACCAGUCUUCAAAAGGCUUUCCCACAGAGCCCUGGAACCAGCCCCUCCAUGCUUCAAAGAAGACAAGGGAGCCCCCCCUCCCCCCAGACCACCCUCCAAGCUCAGAGCUUGCUUGUCCCUCACAAUCCAGUCCCCUGAGUCUUUUUCUCUGUGGCUGGGAGCUUUCUUGGCGCCAGAGUGUGCUCAUUAGAGAGGAGCAGGAAGGCAAGCAGAAGAGGAGGCAGCCACAGCCUUAAUACCAAAUCUCACAGACAAAGGGAGCUGUCCAGGGGAGCAAGGCUGGACCCUUGAACUUGGAUCCAGGAAUUUGUGCCAAGCCUCUGGUUCAAAGAGUUUCAGGAGUGGAAAGUGUCCGGUGGCUCUACCACCAGAUUAGAAAGAAGCCUUUGCCCUGACCAACCAUGAGCUGUCUUUCUCUGCUCUAAAUGCUCAAAGGCCGGCUGAUGUCUUUCCUUCCUUCUCCUUCACAGGAUCUUCCAGCUGCUCACGAUGUUUCCCUGAACAAACUGAGUGUCCAAUGUGUGUCAGACACUGCGUUAGCUGUUAGGGUGUACCAAAACCAAAUAGGGAGAGUCUCUGUGGCUUCCUUUUCCUGCCUGGCCCCAAACGCUCGCCAAGCCCAGUGAAGAGGCCAUGGAGGGUCUCACGAAAUCCACAAGAUUCUCACUGAUGUAACCAAAGAGCAGUCCCCAGACAUUUGGACCUCAGGGAAUCCAGGGCGCUGGAGGUGCGCGUGCGCAAGUGUGUGUGUGUGCGAGUGCGUGCGUGCAUAGGUGCAUGUAUGUAAGCACUGAGAGAAAUAAUGUGUGGUAGAGGAUGGCAAGACUCCAAUGAGAGGGGAGAGGAGGCUGGCAGGACUUGUAAAUAGUACUUUCAGAAUUUGCAUACCUAGAGUGGCUAUUGGACAAACUGUCUGCAACCUAUUCCCUAGGUGUUUGUGCCUAUGGCUAAUAGGAAGACAGACACUGAUGCAAUAGAUAAACAAACAAACAAACAAACAAACAAACAAACAAAGAAGAGUAAGAAAUAUCUCCUAACUUUCUGGAGCAUGGUAAAUGGCAGGGAGUAGCCUUCACACUCUGAAAGAUUGAAUUUUUUUUUCUCCUCUCUCAGAGGGUCAAGAAGCAAAAGCCAACGGUAAGAGAUGCCUGGUGACCAGUCUGACACCUUGGGCCCUAAAUUUAUUUUCUCAUUAAUAAAUGCGGUGGGGGCAGGGUGUUGUUGGAAGCAAUGUCUGUCUGCUUUAUAUCAACUCUUUUCUCCUCUUUUUUGGGGGGUGGGGGUGGGGAUUUUUUCCCCCUGCUCUAGACAGUGGCUGUCCGCGAGGAGACCAAGAGCAGAUGUUUCAUAUUUCAGGAAAGAGCACUCUCCCCUAAUUCCUGAAAGAUUCCUGAAAUUCCUAUACUUAACAAAAAUUAGCUACAGAGAAAAAAAAAUAAUUGUGAAUUAGGAGCCUACAGUGCCUCUGGGAGCCGAUGGCUUCUGUCAUCCCCCCCCCCAAGCUUUCGCCGCCGAGGCAGAUCUCUCUGCCUGCCGCCCAGUGGGCUCCAUGGAAAAAAAACCCAGUGUAGGCAGGCAGCUCUUGCAGCUACCGGGGAGUUUCACCAUAUUUCAUAACGGAGAUGCCAACCCUGAGCCAUAGUUUCCAAGAGCUGGAAGCAGGGAGUUCUAAGCUGGGUUCCAUCUUUUGCUCUCCUGGCCAGUUUAAGCAAUAGACAUCUCCAGGACCUCACCCACGUGACACAAGACUAUUUAACCAUCUCUCUUGUACCCAAGCAGAGAUGCAAGUGCCCACUAGUGAGCUAGCUACCUCCAGAACUAUAAAAGCCAUUCGAUUGAAAUCAUUCACAGCUGCCCGUUGUACUAACAAGCCUUUGUGGUAACCAUUAGACUGCCUCGCAUGUGAAGGUCAACAUUAGCGGGGCACCACACUGAGCUAGCCUGAGCUAUAUUCUCAAAGCCCUCUCAACCUAUGUGAGGUCCUUUUCCAUUCUGUAUAAAAGAUAUCAAAGCCUUUAAUCAUUCAGUAUUUAUUCAAUGAACAUUUACUGAACGACUGGCACAGUCCUUGGCACCCGCCGUGUGCUCAGUAAAUAUCUAGUGAAUAAUGAAUGAACGGUACCCAUCACAGAGAAGAAAAAGUGCAUGGCAAGCUGCCACCGCCCCAGAUCCUGAAUCCACAUCAGAAUCCACUAAUGGAUUCAAAUAUGCUUCUCUGAAGACUCUGGACUCAGAAUACGUAGAUUUGAUGCAUAGCAUGAAAUCUAACCUGCCCUUCCUGACACAAAGAUCAAGUACAUUUUGCCCCUGUUUUCAGGGAGCUUAUAGAUUACUGGGAGAAAGGCUGUAAAUCGGCAGUUGUAAUAGGUGUUAUGAGAGACACUGAGGAGCCCUGUGAAAGCCUGUGGCCUCUCUAGUAAAACGUGGGUGAGGCCACCACUCUCUAAUUCUGUUUGUUAGUGCUGGCUCUUCAAGUAUCUCUCCUGCCUCUCUGAGAAUCCCUUUUUCAUUCACUCCACUACCCUCCUUGCUGUUUCUACAUUGUUGGGGACCUGUUCUGUCCUUGUCUUCUUGGAAUAGACACUCUUGGAUCAUCAGAGUCCCCAUGAAGCACUCAGUGGCCACUUACACAGACAAGAUCAGAGCCUUGACUCUCACCUCCACAAGAAUACAAAUGCAGUCAUUACCAGCUCUUUAUAAAACAUGUCCACAUGGGCAUCUCACAAGACACUCAACAGCAGACUCAUAGAAGCCCUUUGCCCUUUCUGCACAGCUUCCCCUCAGCCCCUGACAACCUUCGUCUAUACUCUGCAAAGCACUAACAUUCAAAACUUUCAGCUUUCUUCCCCCUCAACACCCCUCCCCACCAGCAAACUUUGUAAGUAGAGCCUCUAAAACAGCUUCUGUAAUUCAUUUGUUUUACUGCCCCAUACCAUCUCACUUCUAACUGAUUUCUCCAUACCCCAGUAUCACCCCCUACUUCAAUCUGUCUUACAAGGAGACCCCAAAAUUACCUUAAAGCACAAACCCUACUUGUGUUGGCCCCACCACUUUCUUCCCGCAAGCCUCUCGUUCAAUAUCCCGUUUCCUUCAAGAUGGCAUGCUAAGACUGGCACAAUGUGACUCCAAUCAACUUGUGCCUGUCAUUCCCUGGACCUGUCAGUCAUGUGACUGCCUUUGUCCAUGCUGCACACUCAGGUCAACGUGCUACCUACCCAUCCUUUAGUUCCCCUUUCUAUAACAAUCUUCAUAAUCCAGAAACCCCAUUCUAUGUCCCCCUGGAAUUCUUUUCUGGUACCCCAUGGCAGAAUGAGCUACCCCAUCUCUGUAUACAGAUUACUUUACAAUUAAAAAAUAAAAAAAGGUUGUUCCAGAUAUAUGGUGAAGUUGAUGUGUACACAAGCUGUCUUAUAAAAUUCACAAGUAUCUUGAGUUUCUGUGUGGAAAUAAAACAGUAACUUUCAUUCAAUAAAUAUGAAGUCCUUGUCAUGGGGCAAGGUUGGAGCAACACCACGAAGUCCCUGCUGUCACAGUGGGAAUGGCAGACAACAGGCAAUGUAAUGUAUGACUACAAGGCUCGAUAGGUCCACUGAUUUGCUACAGGGACUGGAAGAUUAAAAAAUACAUUUUACAUAUUCUUUAAAAAAGAAGUUAUAACUCUUGAAUAAUAAAGACAAUCUUUAAACCCUUUAAAGCUGCAAGGGAUUGGUUUGACCCUACACACAAGUCUUCAUGUUUGCAGUCAGCAAUUUGUUUAUUGCUAUAAAAAAGACAGGGGCAAUAAAACCUAAACAAUUUAAGGACAUUAGGAGAAUGGCGUGAAUUACCAAAGGGGUCUAUGUUUAUAGAAAUUCAGUGAAAAAUAAAAUCUUAAAACUUUAUGAGACAUGAACACUAAUCACUAAUAAACCGCAUCUACAAAGAGGCACCAUCAAGACCUGCUUUUCAGUUCAGGGUAUAAAUUAGACUUUGUAUGUAAAUAAAUGCUCUUUACUUUAGAAAGCCUUUGAAGUUUAUUUCUUUCAACUGGCUCUAUACACCCUGGAGCUACCUCGAGUACAUAAACCCAGCACCCUACACAUUUAAAUGCUCAAUAUUUAUUUAAUAAUUUAAUCAUUGUAUUAUUUAUAGACCUAGUCAACUGCUUUUUAUAAAAAGGCUUUAUUAAUCACCAACAUUUUAAACCUAGGGGCUUGAAUUGAUGGGAUUAUAUGGUACCUACUUUAAAAAAGAGAGAGGCAUAACAUAUAAUAUACAUGUGCAUAUAUAAUAUAUACUUACAUAUUAUAUUAAUUUUAGGUAAACAUUAAAUAAUGUUUUCACAAAUGCUUUCAUGCAUCCUUACUGUUAUUUAUAUUUCUUCUCUCCUUCUGUAUUACCCUCCCUAUUCAGUUAAAGAUGUUUCCUCUACCUCCCUACCUUCAUUUCCAUAUUAUCCCCUUCAUAGGACCUGGGUCCUGCUAGUCCCUUCUUUAGAGUUCCUUCUUCAUCCCCGUGGUUCAUACUUCCUUUCCUGGUUUCGGCAGUUACUUCAGGUUCCAUACACAUAUCUAAAGAUUUGGAACUAGGACCCACAAACAAGGAAGAACACACCAUGUUUGUGGUUCUGAAUCUGAACUACCUUGCUCAAUGCAAUAUUUUCUAUUUCUAGCCAUUUAAAUGCCAAUCUCAUGAUUCCAUUUUUUUUUCUUUACGGCUGAACAGAAUUCCUUCUGUGUGCACACCAAGUUUUCAUUACCCGUUCGUCAGCUGAAGGACACCCAGGCUGUUUCCAUUUCCUAGCUAUUGUGAAGGAAGCAGCAGUGAACAUGGCUAAGCAAGGAUCUAUGAACAUUACACCAUCCACUCCAGGUGCUAAUGCUCUCCCUCAGAGCUGGAAACUGUCUGACAGAAACAACAGUCCCAGGCAUGAAAAACCUCCUUCGGAAUUGUUGGCCAGGAAAGUCCUAGAGACCCACACAAUUGCCAUUGCCCUUGGCUGCCCUCCUGUCCCCCCAGAAUUUGAAGGUACCCAUGUUCUUGAAGACAUCAGGACUUGCAAGAAUCCUAGCUGAGUCUGACUUAGAAGCCUCCUUUCUGAUUUCUCAGAGAACCUCAAGGUGCUAUGCAAGCUGCCAACAGCGAAACACAAUCAGCUGUGGCUAUGAGGCCUAUGAAUCGCAGCAAUGACCAGCACAGCAAGACAUUCCUAAAUGUUCAACGGCAGCACAUAUAUCUUGACAGUCGCCAAUAGCUGCCUAUUUGGACUGGAGACCCACUUAACAGAAGGGAAUUCAGGUCUGGUCUUGUAAAGCUAGCCAGCUACCUGUAGCAAGUAAGGCCAGCAGAGAACACACCAUUGCCUCUUUCCCAAACCAGUAUAAUUUCUAACAGCAUUCUAAAUACUAAUUCUUCUUAUAGCCACAGGUGCAGCUCUCACCUCUUAUCAAAGAAAUUCCUUUUUGAAGCCAACUGAGAUCAUUAGAGAAAUCCCCAUAGGUUCAGAGAAUAUGGUAUCCGGCUACAACUGAAUCACUUACAACAGAACUCUACCCAGAAGGCUCAAGGAACACUGUGGAAGAGGAGGUGGAAAGACUGUAAGAACUGGAGGACCAGAACAUCUGCUGUAAGGCUGUGUCUCGUAUAUAUGACAGGAAGUCCACACCCAUAUAAUCUUACCAAUAUGGCUGCCUAAAGAAGACCGGAACUAUGACAAUAGCUGUUGACUCGUCCACGGAUGGGGAACUCUCACAAGGCCCCACACCUAAAUGGAAAUUUACAGACAGUGAUGACUGCUGAGAGAGAGAGAAUCAGUCUUUCCCAAGGAUGAACCUCAUAAUCGGUUAUCCAAUACCAAGUGGUCAGAUUCAUAGACGCAAUACUAAACAUUCCCAGCAGGUUGCACUUGCAAAUUUUUAUGGAUGUAUAUAUGUAAUAAGAAUAAUCAAAGAAUAAAAGGCCAUGCACACAAGAUGGAUGGGAGGAGGGACACAUAGGCAAAUAAACAAUUUGUUGAAAGAAGAGGAAGCACGCUAGAGGGACAACUUCCAAGCCUUGGGAACUGAGUUCAAGCCCGAGAAUCCACAUUCAAAAUGAGGUUUGCAAAGGCCAGGCCUGGUAGUGCCUGUGCUUGCCAUCCCUGCACAUCCCCUUGAGCGAGAGACCUGUCCUUCCUUGCUACAGGUGUUUCUAAUUUUUUUUUCCUGAAGAGAGAAGCAGAAGCUAAGGUCACAAUCCAGCCUGCCCAAAUUAUCCAUAUGAUGGUCCAGGACCCGGCUGGUGAAUCCGAGAGGAUGAAAUGCCAUCCCACUAUAAAACAAAAGCUUUUCAGCAAACAUUUUGCCUCUCUGCUCCUCUCCAACUCUUAUCCCUGCACUGGGCUAAACCCCUGCUCACCCUCAGAUGCCUGAGACCUGCGUCCUUGUGUGUGCACGUGUGUGUUCCCACAUGGCACUUCACGUGUUAACAGGCCUUUUACCACUAUGGAAUGCAGGAGGAUGCAUCUCUUGUCAAUCUCCCUUGGUUAGUGCUUUUCAUUCUUUAGGUGGGAAGCAACUAUGCUUCCUCUGGAAAUGCAGUAUUUCACAAAUGAGGGAGGAAAAAAAAGCCACCUCAGUCCUUUUUCAUAGGGGGAGGUCAUAGGAAAUGUCUCAAAGGAAUGACUCAGCUCUGUGCCAAGACCUGUUUCCUACUUACUGCUAAGACUUCUUCCUAUUAAAACUUAAUGCAGUCUUCUCUGGCAGCUCAUUUUGUUUGCCAAGUCCUUUUUGAUAAGUUAUUUAUUCCAGUCAUAAGUGGAUUGCUUAAGCAUUGCCUUACAGGACAGAGUAGGAUGCCACUUCCAUUCCUGAUUCUUGGAGGACUGAAUUGUUAGCUCCAGUGGCAAGCUGCUGUCAUGGAGUCCUUUCUUGAAUAGCUGGACAGCCUAGUAUACAACAGGCACUCAAUACAUACUACUACUAAACGCGUGAAUGAAUUAUUAUCAGAGUGAAAGGUACAUCAGAUGUCAUACGGAAAAUGUGGAGGAAUGAGAGCACUGCAGGAUUUCGAUGGAAAUGGAUUUAUCUGCAUGGCGCAGUGCAGAUAAAACAGGUUAGCCCAUAGGCAAAGAGCACGCAUAGUGUGGCCCUCCACAUCAGGCAGCAUGUGCGAUCCAGACUCUCUCACUGUAAAAUGGGAGUACCAUGGGAGCAAAGGGUGCCCAAAGUGCCCUGCACAGUUACUAGUACAUAGUGUCUUCAUAGCAUCACCUGUACAGGUACAGCUGCAUGUUUCCUAAAUGACAAGGCACAUGGCAUAUCCAGAUUAAAACUCAACACGUACAGAGUUGAGGCUUCUAGAAAAUACACUGAACCCAAGGAAGCCACAUGUGGAUGUUCUUCAUACGAUUCAUCAUCACAAGCCUUUUCUUGGUUAUAAAAGAAUUUUCAGUAAGGCUCAUAUUUUAACUUGGAAGUUUAUCCUUUAAAGUAUGUAGUGCUGUGUGUGCCCCAUAUACUGCAGCUUUAAAACCAUUCCAGAGUGACUCACACGCUCUCUGAGAAAUACGUGCCUACGUUUCCUUCAUAUCUCGCUUCGAGUUUCUAUUUUCAUUUAAUGGUAUAAAUGUAUCAGCCCUCUGACGGUCUUACAUCUGGACAGACGCCAGGACGCAGCUACACUGUUCUCUCCUAUUAAUUUCCAAUCCACGGACCAGAGCUGCAAGGUCUCUGCUGCGGUUAGCUGAAGCAUUUAUUCAGAAUGACUGUCUUUUACGUGCAUUAAUUCCAGCACUGGCUUAAAGAGAAAGAAAUGAGACAAACAUACACAAAGAAGAAAGUUUAAAAGAAAAGAAAAAUAGAAUAAACUCUUUUGGCUCUGUCUCAUGCAGGAAAAGAAAGAAAGGCUGCUUUCCUGGCCUCAUUAAACACUGUGUUCCUCCUAGCUGCUUUUCGAAAAACCCAAAAGGAUGGGGGAGGAGGAGGUUUAGAAGACAGAAUGAGGUGAGCAAUAAAGAAGGUAAGAGGGGAAAAAAAAAAAAAGAACCCGAAUGGCUGUGGAACAAACCAGAGGGGGAGGGGCAAGAAAAAGAAAGAAGAAAGGAGAGCUGAAACCUGACACGCAGGAACUCGGGCCUCUAGCAAGCAACUUCUUGGACUGAAAACCUGCCAGCCUGAGGGAUGUGGAAUGGUUCCAAUCCCAGCCUUCAUUAACGCUUCAUAUACCCGGUCCCUAAUUUACGGCCGUUUAACAGCAGACAUUCUACAAGUACCUUCGGGGACCUCUGAGGACAGAAGAAAUCUAAGAGAAAUUACAUGCCCAGGGAGCUCUCUCAAAGGCGAAAGCCCUCCUGUGCAAGGCAACAAUUUAGUUGCAUUUUUUUUAUGGUGUCUGUUGGGGACUUGCAACAGACAGAGCCAGUGGGGAGUGAUGGCUGUUGGGGACGCCUGGAGAUGUGGGACACAGGACAGGUGGACAGAAGCUCUCAGUGAGAGUUGUUCGUGAGUGGGGCAAGGAAUGUGUCUAUGCGAAGGAACGUGUAUAUAUACAUAGCUGUAGGCAGGGGUUUCUGGCCAUGUGACCAAACUUUUAAAAGUAAUUUAAACAAAAAAAAGGACAAAAACAAAAUUGAAGAGGAUGCUUUCCUUGAGUGUUGAGACCUUUUUUUUUUUUUAAAGAAAAGAAGAAAAUUGGGGAAAAAAAGUGGGAUCCAGAGGUAAACUCAGAUCCUGAAAUCCGGUGAAGGGAGAGGCAGGGUGGUACCCACCAAGGCCAACCUCAGUAAUCAUUUCUAUCAUUCUCUCAAGUUUCCUCCUCAUCCGUCCUGCAUGGUGCACAUCACAGCGUGUAAUGAAGCAGGACCUAGAUCAGGUCAGGUGGCUUUCUCUGCCAAGGCCAAAAAGUGAGGGACCAAAGGAUCUAUCUCCGCAAAGACUCGGGAGUUUGGGAAAACAGACUGGAGUCCCUCUCCUCUGACAGCAACAGGAGGGUGCGGCAAGGGAAGCUGGCCGGAUUACCUUUCAACUAACAGCUUUCCUAAAUGGGUCUGUGGAUUAGUAUUCUAAAGGCUGAGGGCUACAUCACCAUCCGUGGGGCAGCUGAAUGGAGUCAGGCAGCUCUCAGCCAGACAAGGAAGGACGUGGUUUCAGCCCCUCAGGAGGAAGAAGCUGUUUCCAGUCCCUCUAGAAUGGGCUUCAAGGAAUGCUAAUCUUCUGAGUAUACAGUGUGUAAACCCAUGUCUUUUCUAGAGCAACUAGGAAAUAGGUAAAAAUAGCUUAGAGUGAAGCAAGUAGCCCUGGCUGGGAAUGGGUUUGACUACUACCUGGAGCCAGGCAACACCAUAAUCUGAUUCCAAAGGACUCAAAACUGUCCUUCUACAGCAGUAAGAUCACGCACGGACUCCCUCUUUCCCAACUCGUCUCCAAGAGAGCCUGUGUGUACUCUGCUCUUGAGAGAUGGCUCCCAGCUGCAACUGAUGUCCUUUUCCAGUAGAUAAGACAAAGGCUUGGCAAAGUCACUGUGCCUUUUAGUACUGGCUUAGCUGAGAGUAAACUGGGACUUCGUGAAAUCUCUAGUGGUUGUUCAGGGCCUCAGUAGAGCCCUGUUACCUUCACCCUUUCAUUAUCUUUCAUAGCAACCACAGGGCUUUUACUAGCCCAGGGCCAGCUGCUGAACUCCAAAUCUGACCCAGUUAAAAAGCAGUUAUUCACCUCCACAGAUAUUCACCUCCAAGUCUGUCCCAUAAGCAGAAAGAUCCAAUUUUAAAGAAUGUGAAAGUUCUGCCGGAUCAACUGCGUACAUGUUAGUUGUGUGGUUUGGUCCAUAUCUGGGCUGUCCUUCAUCCUGAGACUGGAGGGGAACGUGUAGGAGAUUGCCACCCUACCUUAGAGGCGAAAUUGAGAGUCAAGAAAUACAACAAGCAAAGGGUCCUACAUAUAGCAAGCCCUUAACCAUGGUUGAGUGAUGCUGGGACAAGAAGGCCUGUGGUACCUCAGCAAAGGAAAGGCCUUUCAGCCCUGUUUGCUCUGCAUAGCCAAAGAAGAGAAGGAUUACUGGCUGAGUUGUUGUUGCUGUUGUUGUUUAGCAGACCAGUUAGGUUCUUAAUAGUAAAACAGUGGGUAUUUGUGUGUAUAUGCACAUGUGUGUGUGCCCUGGAAUCUAGACGGUUGAUGUCUCUCCAGUCACUCUGAGACAGGAUCUCCCAUUGAUCCUGAAGCUCACAAAGGCAGCAAAACUAGUUACCCAAAGCUCUAUGAUUCUUCAGUGUCUACCCUCCCAGGACUGCCUGGCUAAGGCUACUGAGAUCAGCUGCUUACCUAGGUCUUGGAGACUAAACUCAUGCUUGCCAGGCAAGUAUUUUAUCAAGUGAGCUAUCUCCCUAGCCCUACCUUUAGAGUCUCUCUUCCUCACUUAGGGAAAUCCUGACAUGUGUAUUGGAUGCAAAAGUCCUCCCGAUUAUACCUAGGUCAAGCAGCUCUGGAGCUCUAGGAAGCAAGAACACCGGUAGCCGUUCACCUUGGGAAAGGCUGCCCACACUGCUCAGAUGACGGCAGGCUUGGCAGUGCCCUUUAUCUGGCAUCUGGGAGCUAAAAUUUGCUUUGGAAAAGAAUUCUUCCUGGAGUUGUAGCUGCGUACAUAACUGCCUUCAACUUUUGUCGACUGGUAUCAAAAGAACACAGAAGCUUGUUAAGAAAAGAGAGAAAAUGGGCUAGGGAGGAGCUUCCCAGGCUAGCAAAGCAACAGGAAAAGUGAAACAACAAAGAAGAGACAUUCAGAAUGUACUUCCUAGCCUCUCAACCUGGGCAGCAGGCCUUCUGAAGGGUUGUGCUCACUGGGUCCAAGUUUCCUAAGUAUUGCUACUAUUUAACAGGCCUGGAAAGUGACGAGCAUCCUCGGAGUCACCUAGUCUAAACCCCAUUCCUACUUGUCCCCAUCCUUACUUGUGCCCUUCUGCCUUCCUCAGAUAUAGAGGGACAGAGCCACUCUAGGCAGCUUCUGUAAGACUCAACCCUUAAUAAUAAUAAUAAUAGUAAGUAAUAAUAAUAAUGUAAAGGGUUUGAACUAUUAGCUCUUCUUCAGAAAGGAAUGAAAAUAAAGAGAAGCCACUGACAAAAUAUUCACAUAGGAAUACCAUGAUAAAAAUAUGCCCAGCACUUGUGAGCUUUCCUGAAAGAAAGAGAAGAGAGACAAACUCACUUGAGGAGGCCUAAAGAAAGGGAGACUGUGGAUCCCCCAACAAGGAACUAGGACUGGUUCAUAGUAGCAUCAAAGAGGAGCAAAGGUAAGCAGUGAGGUUAGAUAUGGUCUCUAUAGGAAUCUUGGAAAAGAAAUCAGACUGUCUGGGCUACCUGCAAAAAUACCUUUCCAAAAAAAAAAAAAAAUCAGAAGUUAAAAAAAAAAAAAAAAGGAAUGUAUAUGGGGAUUGGAGGGACAAAUGGCCCAUCAAGAGGGAUAGGUGGGACAGGCUAGAGCCAGGACAAACCAGUAUUCAAAGACAAGCGGGGGCCAUCCCUGUGGCUAACCCCAGGCAAUCCAGCCUGACUUCCUUUUAUGUAAAGGGGAUAAUGAGACCUCUCCUUCCAACCUCCAGGUGGCUUUAAAGGUCAAAUCCAAGCAUAUAAAUGAAAUGUGCUGUGUAGUUCAAGGCACCACACAAAUGUCAAGCUAUUUCAGGCACGAGGCUCUUGAUGAAAAAUGUGGCUACCCAGGUAGCCCUUCAAAAGUGGGGAGGAUAAAAGCAGCAGAGCAUUGUGGGUAAGGGUGGAGCUCACUGCCUAGAAAGGGUAGGAAUGAAUGCCAUGGCCAGAUGGGAUCAGAUUUUUCCAAGAGUUUACCACAGACUGUGGUAGGCUCCAAGUCUUUAGAAAGGUCCUGGGACGUUCCUAUGCUCCUGAGACAGACCUCUAAGGAUGAGCUCAGAGAGUGUCCAGUGACCAUCUUUAUGUGUUGGAGCAGAGAGAUGCAUACCAGAAUCUUACGAUUAUGGAAGGCAAUGGUUUAGCCCCUCCAGAUCCCAGCCAUGUGUGACAACUGAUAUCUGUAAUUCCAAUCCUGGAGAGGCAGAAAUAGAGAGAUGCCUUGCUAGCUCCAGGUUCAAUAAGAGACUCUCUCAAAAAGCCAAUAAAUUGGAGUGACUGGGGAAGCCAGAUCUUUUUUUUUUUUUUUUUUUUAAAGAUUUAUUUAUUUAUUAAUUAUAUGUAAGUACACUGUAGCUGACUUCAGACACUCCAGAAGAGGGCGUCAGAUCUCGUUACGGAUGGUUGUGAGCCACCAUGUGGUUGCUGGGAUUUGAACUCCGGACCUUCGGAAGAACAGUCGGGUGCUCUUACCCACUGAGCCAUCUCACCAGCCCCGGGAAGCCAGAUCUUAAUCUCUGGCCUUUAUAGGCACACACACAUGCACACGUGCAUCAAUACACAUAUGCAAGAACAUGUGAAAACACACAUCCACACACAAAGAUGAUUUCCAGAGUUUAUAAGCCACAAAUUCAACUCAAGCAUAACAUUUACAACAUGGUGAAAGACCCCAACACAAAGACCAUACAAAAUUGGUAUGUUUUGUUUCCUUGCUGUUUUUGUAGCCAAGGAUAGCCACUCUCAUCCACCUGAGUACUUCAGCCUUAGAAUACUGGAAUUAGAAACCUGUGUUACUAUACUCAGUUAAAAUUUGAAAUUCUGAAAAAUAAAGUCCUAAAAUGUGGAAGAUCCUUGAGGUCCUUUGAAUGAAAAUGGACCCCACUAGGCUCCUGAAUGCUUGUUUCCCUAGUUGUUAGAACUAGAAUGGGGAAGGAUUAUGGGGUGUGGCCUUUUUGGAGGAGGUAUGUCACUGGGGGUAGGCCUAGAGAUUCCAAAAGCCCAUGCCUGGCCCAGUCUCUCUUUCUCUGCCUUCAACUUUCAGAUAAGAUGAUGUAAGCUCUCAGCUACUGCUCCAAUGCCAUCCCUGGCUGCCAGCUGCCACUCUUCCUGCCAUGGUGCACAUGAACUCACCCUCUUAAACUGUAAGCAAGCCCCCUGUUAAAUGCUCUCUUUUGUAAGUUGUCUUAGUCAUGAUAUCACUUCAGAGCAACAGAAAAUACUUAAAGAAUUCAAGAGGGGAAAGCAGACACCAUGGCCUCUUUUCAAGAAAGCAACAUUCAGAGGCCUAGGGAUUUAGUUGGCUGGUAGACUCUAGGCAUACAUAAGAUCUGGGCUCAGUCCCCAGCACUUCAGAAACACAGCACAGAGUAUGCACCUAUGUCACUCAGGAGAUGGAGGCAGGAGGAUCAGAAGGCCAAGUUAUUUUAGGCUAUAUAAAGAGUUUGAGGCCAACUUGAGCCACAUGAGACCCUUUCUCCAAAAUGGAAGGAAGGAAGGGAGAAAUGAAGGAAGGAAGAAAAAUGGAAAUGGCACCAGAGUCAUUACAGGUGGAGGAAACAACAAGAGUGCACAGACCCUCUGAGGGCCAGUGGAAGAUUAGGCAAAUUCUUAUUCUUUGGUUAUAAUCAGGAAGUGUGGUAGAAAAUUAUCUCUGGGACUUGAAAGAUAGUUCAGCGGUUAAAAGCACUCAUAGUUGUUUUUCCUGGGAUUGGGAGUUCAAUUUCCAGCACACAAGGCAGCUCACAACUUUCUGCAAUCCAACGCUAAGUGAUUUGAUACCCUUACAUAGACAUACAUGCAGGCAAAACACCAAGGCAUGCAUAUAUAUAUAUAUGUGUGUGUGUGUGUGUGUGUGUGUGUGUGUAUAUAUAUAUACAUAUAUAUAUAUAUAUAUAUAUAUAUAUAUAUAUAUAAAACCAAAAAAGAAAAUGAUCUCUGUAACUCCCAAACUGCUCUUCUGUGAAACCAUCAGACAAAGGAAGCUACACUGGUCUUUUUGCAAGCAGCUCCUUUCAAUGCUCAUCCUUUCAAUGAGAAAGCCAUCAGCUCCAUUCCUUCCAUGAAAGACAAGUUGAGAGAAGAUAAAACAUAGAAGGUUCUUGGAGACCUCAUCCUGGAAAGCCUGGGUAUGUUACUAGAAGCAGUAGAGGUGACAAAGACCAUAAAGAAUCACUCCUUGAAAGAAAUGUGACGCAGGACAUCUAUAGAACCAAAGAAAGCACAACCAACAAGAACUCCAGCUCAGCUGGGCAGUGAUCCCAGCAGAGGCAGGCGGAUUUCUGAGCUUGAGGCCAGCCUGGUCUACAGAGUGAGUUCUAGGACAGCCAGGGAUAUACAGAGAAACCCUGUCUCAAAAAAAUGAAAAUGAAGACAAAGACAAGAAAGAAGAAGAAGAAGAAGAGGAGGAGGAGGAGGAGGAGGAGGAGGAGGAGGAGGAGGAGGAGGAGGAAGAGAAGAGAAGAGAAGAGAAGAGAAGAGAAGAGAAGAGAAGAGAAGAGAAGAGAAGAGAAGAGAAGAGAAGAGAAGAGAAGAGAAGAGAAGAGAAGUCAAGUCCAGCUCAAGGCCUAAACCCCAGAACAAGACUUAACUGCCUUCCUAUGCAAUGAAUGGCAUGGAAUCAAAGGCUUGGUGCACACAAACAGACCCAAUGCACACAAGGCCUUUUGGUCUCAUCCCCUAGCUACACUAUCCACCUGCACAGCGUUGUCUUGGCCAACACACUUUCUUUCAGCCCUGUGUUCCUUAGAAAAUAUAUUUCUUUUAAUUUUUUAGAAAAGUUGAGCAACAUAAGUUAAGAGAGAGAGAGAUUAAUGCAGUGACAGAAUGUGGCAGCCUAUAAUGACAGAAAGAACACUGUAAUUCUUAAUAUUCUAUGAAGGCGAUCACUACUAUUCCUAUAUUAUAAUGCAGACACCGAAGAUCAAAUGUUAACUCAGUUGUUAAAAUCAAGGUAAAUGAAACAUUUGCUCCUUAAACUGGUACUCUUUCUGCUGACUCAAAGAACCUAGCUUAUUGUGAGUCUAGAUUGAUGAUACUGAUAAUAUUCAGUCUAUUAAAAAAUGCAAAGAAUACACAUGUCAUAGAAAUAGGUCAGCAUAUUCACCAAAACAUAAUGUCCCCAGACACUGUCAAAUAGUCUAUUUGUGGAAAAAAAUCAGUCCUAUUGACUGAUUGGGCACAUUUUCAUCAUGCAGGAAUGUAGCCCAGUUUUACCAGGUAACAACCUGGAUUUGUGGGUCAAUUUGAAACCCUUCUGUUCUCUCUGCCUUGACCUUUCUACACAGGAAAAAAUUUCAGGGACUACUCUAGCCAUUAAAGAUAUGGAAUGCACCCAUGAAUUACAAGUCUAACAUUACCUAUACACCAAAACAUAAUAUUGUGACCAAUUUCUUCCUGUAUUUGUUCUUUAAAACUCCCUCUAACUGGGCAGAAGCAACACACUUUCUUUCUUGGGAAACUGAACAUUGCAUUUUGCUAAUCUAUGUUCAGGGUGCCAUAUUAGACUCUACCAAAGCCCUAAAAAUUAUAACCUUUGGACUGAUUUUUGUCAGCUGUAUUUCCCCAGGAUGUAUUUUUCCUAGCUAGUCCAGGCCGGUUAUCUCUUCCUGUCAUCCUUUUCUUAUGAGGCCAUUUGGAGGGACAAGGACUAACUCUGUGUUCUUUAGUGCACCUUUCAUCCAGCUGUUGAUUAACACUAAAUAAUAAUGAUGGUUAUAAUAAUGGCUGUCAAUAAUCAUAACCUUGACCAUCAUCGUCAUAAAUAAGACUUCCCACUGGAGUUUUCCCGAAGCCAGCGCAGUGCAGGCACUAACUACGAUUGGAUGGGUUUGGAGAUUUCCUGGGCGAAGCUCAGCUCAGCUCAGCUGGGUGGUGACCCCGAAUCAAAUAAUCAGCAGCAGCACACUGAAGAUGGGCAAAGGGCUCAUCCUCUCUUUAGGGAAGAAAAGGUUCCCACUGUCACCAUCUAGCCAGGUAACUGACCUUGUUUUCCAUGCUCAUCUUAGCUGGAAGAAGCAUUGUUCAUGUCAUCCUCAAUUGCUUUAUGGCCAGUUUUUCACCAUGGGACCAUUAUUGAAAAUCGCUCUCCUGGCACUGCCCACGUGGCAUACUAGAAUAACUUCCCAAGGGCACUUCUCAUGGUUUCCAGAGAUUUGGGGGUUAAAAACAAAUAAUACUUAAAUCCAUAGCAACGUGCAAGGGAAGUUCAGGGUGGUGAUGAUUCUAUUCUGUGGCUUUCUGCAAGACAGAAAAUUCAUGGCUUCCUACAACCCUACAUCACUGCUAUGGUGAGGAAUCAGCAAGCUCUCUCAGUCACUGCAAAGAAUAAAACAGAAUUCUGGGCACAGACAUAGGGCUGUUACAAGGCUGACCAAGAGUGAAGCCCUCCCCUAGCCUGAGCCAGAGUAUCACACACUCAGAGCCCUGUAAAAAUGACGGGCAGGUCUGGCUUCUUGGUCUUCCUGACAAAGGAUGAGUGAACGCAUACAAAAAAAUAAAGAACUACAGCAUGACUCAAGACAAUAAAAGUUUUUGUGAGUUCACCAUACUUCUGAGAGUAGUGUCUAAAUAUUAUAAAGUCCAGUAAAAGAAUUUCUAGCCACUUGUGACUAUUAAGUACUUAAAAUAGCUGAGAUUAUGUAAAAAUACACACCAAAUUUUAAAAUCCUAAUCCAGAAAAGAACACAAAUAUUCUUGAAUAACUUCUAUCGUAGUCAAAGGUUAAUAAUAUGUUAGAUGUAUUGUAAUAUAUAUUAAAAUUGAUUUCCCACGUUGCCUUUAUUUUGGGAAUGCAGCACUUAAAGUUUUCAGAGUUUAGAGUUUCAACUUAAGUUUCAAGAAACCGACUGUCCUUUCUGCAGUGAUUUUCCCCAGCUGAAGCAGAGGUGUAAGGGGCAUUUACACCUCUGCAUAUCUAAAUGGGGCUCAAGUCACCUUUGAUGUGUGGGGACAAACAGAAGGAAGUUGAAAUAACCACUUGCUGUGCAAACUGAGUUAUUAUAGAUAUAACACUACGCCAUGAGUUCCCAGGAGAUCCAGUAACUGGAACAGCAGGGGAGAGAGAACAGGAGGAAGGUGAGAAGAACAAGGUCUCCCAAGGAAGGAAGCAGCAGCCCCACAUGCACAACACUGAGGAAAGUAAGAGCAAUGGAGACCCGAGAGCCCGGAGAGACACUAAGACAAGGGAAGCAAGCGCCUGCACCAAGGUAGGUAGGGGUCAUCUUUCUCCCCAAAGCACAAAGGUGUAGUUUAGGAAAAAGCUAAGAGGUAAAAAGGACAAGGAGCUGGACAGACAGGUUAGCUGUUAAGAGCACUGGCUAUUGUUCUAGGGGUUCAAUUCCCAGCACCCACAUGGUGGCUUACAGCUGGCGAUAACUCCAGUUUCAGGUAUUCUGAGGCCCUCUCCUGGCCCUGAAAGGCACCAGGUACGCAAGAGCUGCACAGA